rnacentral:lncRNA from 1 species
UUUUUUUUUUUUUUUUUUUUGUGUUGUCAUAGCAGUGUAGCGUGAGUAUCUGGUCCCGUGGACUAGUUAGCCUUCGUUGCGGGCUGGGAGGGGCUCGCCCUAGCAUCACCAUCACCAGCCAUGUUAACAGCGGGAGUCGAAACCGGAUGGUACUCAUUCAACUGAACUACUACCACUAGUUCCAACUCCAGAGGGCUGAUUUAGAAACUAGAACAGCUGAUGGGUUUUGGUUUACUACUAUUUGAGAAUGAUGUAACUUGAAAAGCUUGUUGAGAAGCAUUCAAAUGUAAUAUUCUAAGGGUAUACAUUUUAAAAUUUUUAUUGGAUUAAUAUUUUUGACAAUGAUAAUUAGCAUGCAUUGCACAAAUGAUAAUUAUAAAAAAUUUGAUUUUGAAUUCAUAUUUAAUAAUGGAUACAUUGUCAGUUUAUGUAAAAUUUUGUCUUUUUUUAAUUAGUUCAAAAAGUAACUCAAAUUCAUAAGUACUUUUGGUAUCACCAUAUGCAAAUGUUUAUGGUAUCAUCUAAUUGGGAAGUUCUGCAAUAUUUUUUUUUAUCGAUGAAUAGUAUUUAGAUGAUUUUAGAAAUUUAAAUUGUUGAACAAUGUGGUAAGAGUUUAUUGAAUUAUUAUAAUGACUAGUGUAUAAUAUUAAAAGAGAUGGUAAAAUUUACCUAAAUUAUAUUGUCAAAAAUUACAAAAAUAACAAUAACAAUUCAUUGUUACAAUCUCGAUACAUAAGGUCUGUAUCAGUAUGAAGGGAAAGAUGAAUUGGAUAGUUCUGACGGAGGGAGUAUAAGCGAGAGAUGUUACAUUCGAGUUCUCCUAUUUACUUACAUUAAAAAAAGAGUUGUGUAUUAAUUAGUAAAUGGAAUUAUAUUAAUCUGGCCAUUUAUUUUGAGCCACUAAGAAAAUUGAAUGUGAUUUGCAUAUUCCAAUUUUCCCAUCCUAAGUUGUAUAAGAAAAACAAUAAUUGUAGUAUAUUGUUAAUCAUUACCAAAAAUCAGCACUCAUUACCAUUCCAUUUUUUCUUUUCUCCUUUGGGUGAAUGCUAUAUUGCUUUAAUAUGUUCGUGUCGAUCCUUGGAAGCAAGACAAAACUUGGAGCAUAACCUUUGAACCAGCAAACAAGGAAGAAUCUGACAGUUUCAACCAUAAAACUGAUAAUCGCAGAUUAAAAAAACUGAAAUUCCUGCGAACCCAUUGGGUUUCAAAAAAUUUGAACGUUCCGGUUCCAAGCUUGAAUAGCAUAGUGUUUCGCUUGCCUUCGACAUUUUUGCAGCCCUGAUACAAAACGCAAAUUCACAGCAUUCGUCCACUGGAUGUUGGCAACACAAUCCAUGGUACAAAGCUUCAUAAACUCACAACUGAGAAUUUCAUCAAGGGAAAAUCAGAAAUUUGAUAAGGAAUAUGCAAGUUCUGUAGAGAUGGCUUAAUUAAGAACUCAGCGAAUUGUUUUGACAUCAAUUCUUGACUACUGUCAGAAACCUGUUAUCAUCAGAAAGUCUUUUCAACUAUAAAGCAGAAAAAGGAGAAAUCCCCAAGUUCACAAGCUAAUAAAGCUUGAUGACACUAAGAAUAUUUCCACAGACAAAAAUAAUAAAACAACGAAAUCACAAAACAAAAACAGGCCUGCAAGAUUCCCGUAAUUGGCAAUAUCCAUCCUCCAAGCGUUCUGCCACUGUUUCCUGAAGAGCAACACGAGCAUAUAUGUCGACCUGGUCCCCAAUGCAUGUAAGAGCAUGCUAGGGAGAGCAAUUAAACGCAAGCACGAGUCUCCAUGAAUUGAUAGACUUUCCUCCGGUUAUAAGAUCUACCCCUCCAGCCACGAUCAGUAUCCUUCGGCUCUUCUUCUUCAAGCUUCUUAAGAGUCAUAUCCUCAAUGUCGUACAAAAUCACCUCACCGUCCUCCGGAGAUAAUACAAGCAUCGGUUUUUCUUCUGUCCCAUCCCAGAGAAGACGAGAAAUACAAAAUGGAGUAUAAAACCGAUUCAAGACUUCAUCCUUCGAUGAGGGACACAGACUUUGUAGUAGAGCAAGGUCUACACGAUACUUGAAUACCCAUUGAGAACAGUCCCUUGCCAGCUCAAGAAUGUCGAGCAGUGGCGCUUGAGAGCCAACAACCUCCAUGAGGUACAAACUGCCGCCAGAUUCUCCAAAUUCCCAAAGCAUCCCCGGUAUUCGAGGUAUAGGAGACCUUGUGAAGUUGAGGCACUGUUUAUCUAGAUCAAAGCACAAAAUACGGCUUGAAUCACCUAUCCAAUAAAGAUCACCAUUCCAACCACACACGCACAAGUUUGUAACGAUCAGGAUUUAAAGGAUCAAACGCAAUAUUCAGAGCCUGAAAAAACCGAAGUUGACGACCUAGAUUUAAAGAUUUCAAACGGGGAAUAAGCCUAUACCCACAAGUAGUAGGGUUGUACACAACAAAGUAGUGUGGUCCACAUCCAUACUCAUCUUUAGUCUUAAACACAAGAGCUAAUAACCCAUUGCAAUAAUGUAAACCCUCUGGCUCUGGAUUCAAAUUGAGAUUCUCGCACAAGUGGGGAACUGUGUCACCCUCUGAACUUACAUACUUUUGUUGGUGGAUGGAGAUGAAAUUAAGCCUGUCACCCACGGGGAGGAAGAAAACCAAUGUUCCAGAGGAAACAACAGAACGGAGACGCCUGAAGUCUGGGCUGCAUAUGGUUGAAAGCCACUGCUUGGACACGGACGGGAAACGAUGGAGGGAUUUUCUGGGUAAGUAAAGUAAAAUCUGUAUUAAGAGGUCUCCAUUGUUGCCUAUAACAUUUGCUGCUGCUGCUGCUGAUGCUGAUGCUAAUGAAUAGGAGGAGAAAGAGGAGGUUUCAUCAUCAUCUGGGGCUUUGUUUUUGAGGGUUUGAUUUGGUUUUCCGCUUUCAAAUUUUGAUGUUUCGGCAGUUGACUUGACAGUUGGAGAGGAGCGGCCGGAGAUUUUUGUGGGAUCUUUUAGGCCUGAAGAUUUCAUCGUGACCGGCUGGGAAAGAUGGAAAUUUCGUUGGUUGAUUUUGUAAGGAGAUCGCUGUUGGGCUGGUUGUGUUGCAUGCAUCAACAAUCUCCUCCUACUCACGCUAAACCCUACCUAACCCUAUUUGUACUUGUUGGUUGCAAUUUCAAAAGCCUUGCUUAACAAAAGAAAACACCCUAAACUUAUCUGCUUUUGUUGUUAAACUCUAGCCUAUGUUUUUAAACUUGGACCGGACCGGACAGUCCAACCGGUUCAACUGGGACCGGCUAGAGAUCUAGUCCGAGUUGCUCUAAAAACUCGAAUGACAGAGAACUCGGUCAAGUCUGGGUCAAAAUCAGAUUUGACCGGAAACCUGUAAGACCGCUGAGAACUCGAUUUUUUUAUUUGCCAUUUUUGUUGCUUUUUUUUCCCCUUUGCCUAUCUAAAUCCCUACUGAUCUCUCGCCUCUCUAGAAAUCCAUUUUCACCUCCUCAGUUCCUUCAAUUUAGCCACCACAAUUAGUGCUUGAUAUCUUUUUCAAAAUAAGAUUUAAUCUUAGAUAUGGGGAAAAGACCAAAAAAAAGAAAAAGGGAUGAAGAAAAGAGCAGAUUGAAGAAAAAAGAUAAAAGUUUUAUUAUUUGUUAGUUUUGAAAAUAAAUACCUAAGGAUAUAAGAAUGGAAAUCCUAAAAAGAAAUAAGAAAUAAGAAUGGAAAUAAAAACUCAAAAAAAAACGAAAAGGAGGAAGGAAGGAAUGGACAAGACUUGGAUAUUAAUGUAAAGGAGGAAGGAAUUGGGGGAAUAUUAAUGUAGGGUUCAAAAAGCUUUUUCAAUAUUGUAUUCUAACCCCUUGGAUAUUGAAAAACUAUUAACAUACCUAGAAAUGUUUCAUAGUCUAUAAAUAUUCUCCACAAAUUUAACUUUAAACUUGUAAUAUGCAUUGAAUUAUAUAAAUUGCUAUUUGAUUGUUCUAACUUCUUUGCACUUUCUUGUUAAACAGUUUUGAAACAUCAAACACAUAUGUGUACACCUUUAUUGAUAUUAGCAUGCUUUUAGAUAUAUUACAUAAUAUUUUAAUUUCUAAAUAAUUUUUAUUAAUAACAUCACAUUGAAGUUAUGACAUCUAUGAGAAGGAUCUCGAUAUGUCAAUCUAAACUUAUGAAGUUGUAAACCACCAAUUUAAAGAUAAACUUUAUAUCUUAUUUUGAUUAAAUAUUAUUAAUAAAUAUUUAUGACAUAUUUAUGAUGUCAUUUAAUUUAACCCCCGGUCGAACCCAUUGACCCCUGAACUCAGCCGAGUCAAUACCCGGUCCGAGUCUGAAAACAUAGCUCUAGCAUCAAGAUGUUGCUAAAUUCUAGGGAUCAAUAUGUUUAUCUCAAAAUUAAAAUUUAGAUAAGUAAAUCUUAUACAUAGUAACAGUUUAUACAUUAACUAUUGGAUUCAUGACAAAUGUACGAAAGUUAAAUUUCAAAUUUAAAUCUUACAUAAUUAUCAUUUAUCACUAUGAGUAUAUGCAUAAUUGCAUAAAAGUGUAUAUACAUUGUCAGAAUAGUAAAAAUUAAUCUAAGAUUAAUCCUUCAGAUAUUAUUAGUUGAUAAGUUAAGCAUAGAACAGUGGUAAAGAAGUAAAAAGUUUUUAUCUAAAAAUAUUAGCCAAUUAGACGUGUCUUAUACUCUCAAGUCUUCUUUUUCUUCCUUCUAAUAUUCCUUCGAAAAAUAGUAAAAAGCAGUAUAGAAUUUCAUUGGGCUGAAAGUGCAUUGAUAUGAAUUAGGCCUUCAAAAAAUAAUAAUAAAACAUUAUCCAUUAGCCACACCAUUCAACUCUCAUGUACCAUCUAACAUUUGAUCCCCAAAAUAAAUGAUUUGAACGUCUAUUAAAAAUUAUUGUCUUGAAACUAUAGGGAAGAGCACUAAACUAGGACGGGCUCUAUUGAGAGAUCUGGAGCCUCUCAAGUUAAAUUUUUGCCUAAUUCUACUGGUCAUAUCAUUCUUAUAAUUUUUAAUAUAAAUUUAUACAAUUUUGGUGCAAAAGUGAAUUCACCAACUUCGACGUGAAAUUUAUGAUUACACCAAAGUUGUACACUGUUGCCUCAAAUGUCUAUAAAUCAUAUCAAUCAAGUCAAAUUGGAUAGGACUCAGCUUCAGAGGCAUCCAAUUAGAGAAAACAGUCCAGAAACACUGUACUGUAAAUUAAUACAUCUAGCUAUCGCAUUUAAGGAAUAACAAUAAUUGAAAGAAGACGAAAGUUCAUCUAAGGCUUAUAGAUUUUAAGUAAGGAACAUGGCCAGGGAUUAAAUCUUCCCCAAUUCCAAAGCUUGAUGGCACCCCUCACUGUAACUUUCACAAUCAGAACAAUCAUCUAAACCAUAACCAUGAAUUUAGAGCCAUAGUGUCUGGCAUAUAAAUUGCAAGCUUCAUUUCAUUCUCAAUCAAACCAACCUACAACUUUAACUGCAAUUGAGAAAUACAUUUAUCCUUGGGAGGGUUUGGGUUGGUAGUUAUAAGUUUCCUGUGAGACCUCAAAGAUACCGGCUUUUGGGGUUCUCUCGGGGUUUAGAUUUGUAGAAAUUGACGUAAGCUCUUUGGGCUUCGAAAGAAAGAGAAUUACAUUUAUCCUAGCCAAACUAAGUGAUACUUCCACACCCCAAAAAAAAUCCAGUGUAGCUAAAUAGAAGUAAACCAAGCCAUUUUUUUUUUCUGAUGAGUGAAAGAUUUUGAAUGCAGAACCUUUGAAUUAUAAUUUCUCCCAUUUAUACUUUUUUUCAUCAUAUCAUCCAACUCAACCCUCUCCAAUCAAGCCUCUCCAAUCAAGCGACUUAACUAUCCAACCAUAAGCCAGCAUCGUUCUCUGUUGGUAGGCAUGGAUCCACUAACCAAAGUUAUCCCUCUAGCCAUCACCAGUACCCACUGGUGCUACUUUAGCAAGCUCCUUUUCAACCAUAUCAUUGAUAUCAAACAAAAUUAUUACAUACUAAACAACCAAAUUUCAUGAGUUUGACUUAGCUUGAAUCCUGUUUAGGUUUGGUUGUAAUUAUCAAGCCAAACUUAAAGAUCAAGUCUUAAGCUAUUUAGGUAUACCAAAACUGUAUUCAACUUCCUUUGUCCGUCUAGGCCCUACCUAUUAAACCCAAAAAAAAAGGGAUAAUUUUAGAAAUCUCCCAUGAGGUUUUUAACUAUUUCACUGGCCUCUCUCCAGGUUUUCAAAAUUAUACUAACCUCCCUUAAGAUUAAUUAUCUUGUAACAUUUAAACUCAAUCAAUAAUUAAAAGUGAUAUUAGGGGAGAGAAGAUAAUAUGAUUCCAUUAAUGUCCCCAUUUAUUACAUUAUUUAAUUAAUUUAAUAUCAACUCACACAUUAAAGAAAAACAUUAAAAUUUGUCAUUUAUCGUUAGGGAUCAGAUCACAUAUAAUAUCAAAAAAAUAGUGUAUCAUUCUAUAUUUUUCACUUAAUAGAAGAUCCAAAUAACUCUUUUAAGUUACACACCCAUUGUCAAACAUGGUGAACAAUAAAUAAUCAAAAAAUUAGCAACCAGCAUAUUAUAGAAAACAAACUUUAACAUCUUAAAUAUUCUUGUCAACAUAUUAAGCUUAGUUGCUGAGAUUUUUUUGGUUAAAGUUCACUUUUUGUAAUAUUUUGGUUACAAAUUUUUUUGAUUAUUUGUAGCUGAUCAUGUUUGAUAAUGAGUUUAUAACUAAAAAGAGCAAUUUGAAUCUUACAUUAAGUGAAAUAUAUAAAAUGAUAUACUAUUUUUGAUGCUUUAUGUGAAUUAAUUCUCGAUGAUAAACAACAAAUUCUAGAGUUUUCUUUUAAUGUUUAGAUAUUAGAUAGGGAAAAUCGUUCAAAACGUCCCUCACAUUUUACAAGAUGACUUUUUUCGUCCCUCACUUUUAAAAGUGUAAUUUUACGUCCCUUACAAAUUCACAUUGACCAAAUUUGGUCCUUACCUAGGUUUCCGACUAAUUUUUUGCCGGAAUCCAUCACGUGACUUGCAUAUGAUUAUUUUUUAAAGACAAAAUUUUCAAAUCAAAUUUUUACAUAAUCUGAUUUAUAGCCCCUCACAUUUCACAAAAUGAAUUUUUUAGUCCCAAACAUUUUACAAAAUGAAUUGUUUCGUUCCUCACAUUUCGAAAAAUGAAUUUUUCCAUCCCUCACAUUUUUCAAAAUGAAUAUUUUCAUCCCUCAUUGAUCAUGUGUAUGAAUAGUUUUUUUUUUCUAUAAAUCCACGUAUAUUUGUGACCUUUCUCUUUUGGUAAUAAUUUAUUUACUGAGUUGUAUAAUAAGGUCAUCUAAUUAAUGGGUCCUAACUCGAAUUCUACUCGUUACUUUUAAGACCAAUAGUUGAAUUACUUGCCUUUUAAUUGUCUUAAAUUUUGAAAGUGCAAAUCCUUUAUUUCUUUUGUCAUACUUUUCUUUUGUUUAUUUUUUCUGUCCAAAUUUAAUUCAAUAUAAACACUCGAUAAUAUUUAGGAUUAACUGUCUUCUUUAUUUUCAAAUUUCGAGUAAAAAAAAUGAAUAUAAGUGAAAAACUAACAAUUUUUUAAACUCAUGUGUAUAUCUAUUUGAUUUCACUUGAACAGUAUGAAUACUAUGUAAUAUAUCUCUAUUUGAUUUCACAUGCUAUUCGUACUGUUCAAGUGAAAUCAAAUAGAUAUAUAUAUAUAUAUAUGUACAUGAAUUUAAAAAAAAUUAUUCACACACAUGAUCAAUAAAAGAUGAAAAAAUUCAUUUUGAAAAAUGUGAAGGAUGAAAAAAUUCAUUAUGUGAAAUGUAAGGGACGAAAAAAUUUAUUUUAUGAAAUGUGAGAGAUUAUGAAUUGAAUUAUAUAAAAUUUGAUUUGACAAAUUUACCCUUAAAAUAUGAUCACGUGCAAGGCACGUGGUGAAUUCCGACAAAAAAUUAGUCGGAAACCUAAGUAGGGACCAAAUUUGACCAAUGUGAAUUUGUAAGGGACGUAAAAUUACAUUUUUAAAAGUGAGGGAUGAAAAAAGUUAUUUUACAAAAUGUGAAGGACAUUUUGAACGAUUUUCCCUAUUAGAUAUAUUAAACAAUUUAGUAGAUGCGAGACAAUGAUGGAAUCAUAUUAUCUUCUCUUUCAUACUAUUACUUUUUUAAUUAUUGGUUAAACCUAGAUGUUAUAAUAUAAUAAAUCUCAAGAGAGAUUGGUAUAAUUUUCAAAUUUUUGGUAUAAUUUUCAAAUUUUGAAGGGAGGCUAGUGAAAUAGUCAGAAACCUCGAAAACAUGAGGUUUCUGAAAUUAUCCCAAAAAAGUACCAAGCACCAACCCCAACUAGCCACUAGAUUCGUGUAAAAGAAAUUAACAACUGAUAAAGAUUUCCAGAUCAGAAAUUGAAAAUUUGCAAAAACUAAAAUCAGAACAUCAAUUAGGGAUGGGGAUAGGCAAAUUGCAAUGCAAAGGCACAUCACCAAAGAAUUUGGAUAUAUAUUGAGUUGAGAUUAUGGGUUGACUUUUCAUCAAAAAGCUUGUGAGGAUUUUAAGUUUUUAACCAGAGUCCAUGGAGAUAACCAUAUAUUCAAAUUCUAUACUAAAAAACUUUAAGCUCAAAGAUGUUCAUAUUUUGAUAACUCUGCUUCUCUAACUUACUUAAAUUCAAUAUGCAAACAAAUACAGCCUUUUUUUAUGAGAUUUGUUGGUAAGAUCAAAUGCACAUCAUACUAACCUCCACUGCGACUUCAUGUUAUGAUUCAUGCCAUUCUUAAUUCCAAUUUACCAAAGGUUUUUCUAACAAGUGCUCCCAACACUUUAAUUACACUUAAUUUACUAUACGCCAAACAUAAUUACAAUGUGGAUAUACACAAUUAUAUUAAUUAUCUCUUCAAUUUAGAUACUUUUCCAAAUUAAUUUUAUUCUUACUAAAGAAAUUAGCAUUUGAAAUUAUCUUAACACGUAACUCCACACCCUUUAGUUACUCUUCCAGCCAUGAUCAGUAUCCGUUGGCCCCACUUCAACAAGCUCCUUAACAGUCAGAUCCUCAACGUCAUAUAAAAUUACCUUCCCCAACAGAGAAAUCAGAAGCCUCGGCUUUUUCUCAUCAUUCUCACGAAAACAAGUUAUACAAAAUCUGCAUCGACCAUCACCAAACGGACCAGAAACUUCAUCCACCACUGAAGGAUACAAAGUUGUAACAGGAGAGAGGUCUGGUUGACACUUCAAAACCCAUUCAGAAUAGUCCCUUUUCAACUCAAAAAUGUCGAAUAACAGCGCUUGUGGGCAAUUGACCUCAAUAAGAUACAAACAGCUUCAAGACACUCCAAAGUCCCAAAUAUCCGACUCACUAUGAUGCAUACGAGGAGAAGGCACUGUUAAGUUAAGGCAUUCUUUAUCUAAAUCAAAGCAUAAAGUCUCCCUCCUACCACUUACCCAAUGAAGAUCACCAUUACACAACAUUCCAUUCAUGAAAUAAAUAUACACAAAGUCCCUCCCAUUUAUGGCCUUAGCGUCCCUCCAAGUCCCAGUUUCAGAUGAAUAUAUAGAGAAUUCAUAUCUCCUUAGAGGGGUUUGACUCGCAUCAUUCCUUGGCAUGUAACGUUCUGACCAUACACAGACAAGUUUGUAGUCAUCAGAUUCUACAGGAUGAAACACAAUGUUCAGAGCCGCAAAGCGACGUUCCCUUUCCAAUAGAUUGAUCCUUGGAAUAUGCCUCUGCUGACUGCUAGUAGGGUUACACACAAGAAAGUCUUUGUGACCAUCAUCUUUUGAUUGAAACACAAGAGCUAAUAACCCAUUGCAAUAAUGAAAACCCUGAAACUGCCCAUCUUGAAAGGAAAUGAAAUUGCUCAAGUUGGAAAAUGUGGUGCCCACUGAACUUGCAUUUUCUUGGUGGAAGGAAAUAAAAUUAAGCUUGUCCCAGUUCUGGUGGAUGAAAACAAAGGCUCCAGAGUCUGCAGCAGUGCCAGAGGAGGAAGUCGUCAUUGUGGUGGUGGGAUAAAAUUGAGAAUGCAGAUGCCUGAAAGUGGCGCUGGAAAUGAUUGAGAGCCAUUGCUUGGAGACGGAUUGAAAUCGAAUGAGGGAUUUUGGGGGUAAGUGAAGUAAAAGGUACUUUAAGAUUUCCUUGUUGUUGCCUAUAAUAAUUGCUGCAAAAUGAUAAAGAGGAGGAGAAGGAGAAUCAGAAGGUUCCAUGACUUGGGGUUUCAAGGCUGAGUUAUUUAUUUUGGGCAAUUGGCUAGUUUGUUGAAGCAGCAGAGUAGCUGGGGUUCUGGCUCUGCAAAAUGAUUAAGAGGAGGAGAUGGAGAAUCAGAAGGUUCCAUGGCUUGGGGUUUCAAGGCUGAGUUAUUUAUUUUGGGCAAUUGGCUAGUUUGUUGCUGCAGCAGAGUAGCUGGGGUUCUGGCUUUUGCUUAUUGGUUUUGGAGCUGAAAAAUUCAUCAAAACCUUAAAAAAUGAAAAAAAAAAAAGUAAACCACAAAAGAGAAAUUAAGCAAUAAAGAGUUAAAAAAAUUGAAGAUUUAGUGGGCAUACCUCCUCUGAUCAUUUGACAUGUGAGGCCACACAGAUUAAGAAAAUAUGGAACUUCAUACCUAAAUCCAGAGAAUUAAAAGAAGAGAGGUGACUACUAUUUCCACAACAGUGAUGGAGUCAAAGGAAGAAGUGCAAGCAUAGUAAAGUAAUGAAUACAAGAAAAAGUAGAUGGUCCCUUUGACGAACAUUGCCAUGCGGAUGGUCCAUGUGACACUGCAAGUGGAUGGUCCAUGAUCAUCCACGAAUAUUAACAAGAAUGGUGGUGGGUUUAAAUAAGGAAUAGCCCACCACUAUUACUUGUGAUCCAUGAUUAAUGUUAGUACGUGGCACGGCAUUGUCAUGCAACAUGCAUGGUGUAUCUAAUAGUUUUCACUAUGUGAACUCCCUACCACAUUUUCCACCGACAGGUUGUACAAUGUAAAUCCAAGAAGCAAAUGGGCAAAAAGUUCAAUUGACAUUAAGAUAGAAAUGUUAGUCCAACCCUGAUGGAGGCAAAAGUACCCCCAAAAGGGUGCCCUGUAUUACAAGUCUUAUUUCUGCAACCUUGAUUUUACCAUCAUUUGCUGUCUCUCUAUAUGGGGAGAAAAAUAUAUUGCUUACCUUAUUUGAUCAACCAUAAUGUACUUUAAGAGCUAAUCAGGAUCUAUGUGUAAUGAAUUUCAGAAAAAGGAAAAACAAAAAUACAGUGUCUACCUCAGAAGUUCGAGGAAGUUGAGCGAGCAAAAAUGCAUUUAACCAACAAUACAUUUCCAUGGUUUCUUUGGAAAGCCAUUGAAAGCUGUCUGGUGCACAAUGAAUAAACAUGCCGAAUUGAUGAUAUUUAGAUUAACCAAAAAUGCUACAAAUAACAUACAACUUAACAGAAAAAGUGCUGUGAUACUUGAAUAUGUUUGUAUUACCAAGCCUUAGACAACCCCAAGCUGUUAAUACAGCGCAAGCACUGUAAAAAUUGGAGAAUGUAUGCAAAACUCAAUUGCAUUAUAUAGUUCUGAGUCUUCCUAGGAUUUAAUGUUCCCUACAUUCUGACAAACACAAAAUUUGAAUAACUACACAAGAGACAUUUCAAUCACACCAGCUUAAAUCAUGAAGCAUCACAAACCUUAAAAUAUGCUCCUUAUUAAACAACCAGAUCUUGACUGGGCUAGAUUAAGUCUUGUUUGAGUUUGGCUCGAAUCAUGAAGCCAAACUUGAAGAUCAAGAUGUAAGGACUUUAGGAAAUCAAACCAAGCGUGAACAACAGACUUAUUCAACUGCCUUGCCAACCUAGUUCUCAACCAGAAAAAUAAAGAGUACUAAUCCACUGCAUUUCUGCAAAAUGAUCCAGGGGAAAAGAUUUUCAAAAAGACAAGUCAAAAACAUCAGUAAGGAAUAUGCAACUUACAAAUGCAAAGGUACAUCAACAAAAAAUUUCAAAAAACUAUGUUGAUAUUAAGGGUCCGCUUGAUAAAACUGAAUCUUAAUUCUGAAAUCUGAAUACUCAGACAAUUAAUGCGCUGAAUUUUUGGAUUUAGAAAUUUAUGCCACAAAAUCUUGUUGGCUAAAGACAGCUUGAGAAGUCAUACAAAAUACGGUACUUGUGGCUAUCAAGUUCAAGCUGAUAUUCGAAGCUUUUUGACCAACUCUGCAUCAUUUGCUAAGGGGGAUUGCUUGAUAGGAAAUAAUUAAAUUAAUUUUUUAUUAGAGUGAAAACAACCCCUGAUGCAAUUUUCACAAAACUAUAAUAUAAAUCAAAUGAUUCAGUGCGAAUACAUUACAAAAAGAAGGCAUCAAUUAAACAAAGUACUUACUUUGAGCAAAAAAGGACCAUGAAUUUGUGAGACUCAAUAUAUGAGUUGUUGGAGAUAAAGAAAAGUCAGAGGGAGAAAAGAAGCAAGAAGAUCAGUGAUGAUGACAAGUAGAGAGGAAAGAGACAUUAGGCAGAAGAAGAAAGAGGCAAUGAUGAAAAGGAAUAGGAGAGGCGUUAAAUAGAUAAAAUUUAGAUGGAGAAGGAAUCUGAACGUGCUUAACAGAGCGACUUUAGAUAUGGUUUUUGCGGUUGUUAAAAGUAUUCUGUUGAAAUGUGUAGAUGAUCUCACAAGGACACUAAUCACGGAUGCGUUUUGCUUAACAUCUGGACACGUAACUUUCGUAUCUUAUACAUUUCUUGAGGCAAAUUAUUAGUGUGUAGUACAUAUUACAGGUGAACAUGAUCAGUUAAACAAACUUCAAUGAAUAAAUACCAAUGACAAAAUCAGUUUGCUUUCAAACCUAUGGUCCAGAAUAGUUCAAGCAGAUUCCAAACUUGAAGAUGCCACAGUUGUGCUAGAACUGUUUAGCAUUCAAUAUUUUAGCAGUAAACUAAAAAUCUCUCAUCUCACUAGUUCACAACAGGCAAACAAUCAUGUGAAAUCAUAAUUAGGAAUUGAUUAUAAUCUAUGUAGGUGCCAUAAUUGUUGCCCAAAUCACUAGGGGAAACCUUUGAACUCUUGGUAAUGCAUAGUAGCAAAUCUUUAACUAGCCUAUUUUCCCAGUUGUCUAUAGCUGAAACAUGUUUCCAAAGUAGUCUUCUCAAUUAUAUAGAAGGAAAGAACAAUCCUUUAUUGCGCAUUAAAAUAUGACUUGAGGCAUGUAAACAAUAAUUUCCACAGUCAAGAAAUGAAAUCACAAAGCAAAAUUUCAGCAAGCUACAAGACUCACGUAAUUGAAAAUAUUCAUAUAUCCAAGCAUUUUGCAACCAUAACUUAAAUAAUACAUUUACUGUCUUAAACAAUAUCAUAAAAAAUUCCGAACUUACAAUGUAAUGAUACCGUUGAAUAUUCAACCAGGAGGAUAUUAUUUAGUACAUCAAGGCAGCCUCUUGAUACAUAUAGUAGCAUGUUAUGGAUAACAAUCAAACACUAGCAAGAGUCUCCACAAACCGGCAAGCAUCUGUCCAGUAAUAAGAGUUACAUUUCCACUCAUGAUCAACAUCCACAGGCCCUACUUCAACGAGCUCCUUAAAAACCAUAUCCUUGAUCUCAUAUAAAAUUACCUUACCCAGCAGAGCAAUCACAAGUCUCGGUUUCCUUUCUUUCUCAUCCUCAACCAAGCAAGGUAUACAAAAUCUACAUUGAUCUUCAUCAAAUGAAAUAAGGCCUUCGUCCACCAUUGAAGGAUAUAAAAUUGAAAGUGGAUUGAAGUCUAUAUGAUACUUCAAAACCCAUUCAGAAUGGUCCCUUUUCAUCUCAAAAAUGUCAAAGAAUAGCCGUUGUGGCUCAUUAACCUCAAUAAGAUACAAACAGCCUCAAGACACUCCAAAGUACCAAAUAUCCCACUUACUGUAAUGUAUAUGAAGAAAAUAAAUUGUCAAGGCAUUCUUUGUCUGGAUCAACACAGAGGGUCCCUCCAUCCACUUAGCCAUUGAAGAUCACCAUCACACAACACUCCAUUCACAAAAUAAAUAUCCAUCAAAUCCUUCCCAGGGAUUUCGGGGUUAAAUAAGUAAAAGACAUGUUAAGAUUUCUUCAUUGUUGCCUAUAACACUCGCCGCUGCAAAAUGAUGAACAGGAGGAGAAGGAGAAGGGUCCAUGACCUGGAGCUCCGAGGAUGAGUUUUGAUUUUCCGGCAAUUGACUGGGCUGCUGCAGCAGCAAAGAUGUUGGGUUUCCGGCUGCUGCUUUUGGCUCUUUUUGGUCUCAAGAACCCAUCCAAAACCUAAAGAACAGGGGAAAAAAUUGAAAAACAGAAAUUGGGAAACAAAAGGGUUGUCAGAAGGUGAAGAAUCGGUGGCUUACCUCCUGUGCUUAUUUGGUUUCUGAAGAUACAAAUGUGACGAGAAUAUGGUACUUCUUACCUGAAACCAGCAGAGAACAGGUAAAGGGCUGAUGCAAUUACACAGACAAGAAGUACUCCACUCAAGUGUGGAGUGUACACUAGACUCCACGUUAAUGGCGGCAAGUACCGUACCUUGUUUGGACCCUGAUUUUCCAUGAAAAAUUUUUUAGAUUUUUGUUAACAUUUUUUUUAAUUAUCUUUUUUUUUUAAUUUACGUAUAUCAAAUCUCUGCCAUAUAUUACUUUACAAAGACUUUUGAAAAUAGCAAUCCACAUGGGAGAGCCCGUUCGGAUUGCAGUUUUUGAAUAGUUUUUGAAGAAAACUUAAGAGCCCAUUUUUUAAAAAAAUGUUUGAUGAUUUUUGAAGAAAACUUAAGAGCCCAUUUGGAUUGUUAUUUCUGUGACAUGUUUGAUGAUAUUUUUUGCAUUUUCAAAAUAAUUUUUGGAGAAAAUUCAUGUUAAGAUUUGUUGUUUCUAAUGAUGUGUGAUGAUAUAUAUAAUUUUUUUCACGUAUAAAAUGAUGAUUUCUAUCCAAAAUAAUUAAUGAAGUCGAUAGUGUUGUUCAAAUUAGAAAGGUAUUCUAGUUUAAUUUCAUUAGAUACUUAAGCAUACAGACUAAUUGGGUUUAAGAGACCUAUUAUCUAUAAUAAUGGGUAGAUUUUACAUUUUGGUAAAGAGUAUUUGGUGUUAUAUAAGACAAUUAAAGAAUUUCCCUACAUUUACAUAAUGUUGGUUUGUCUAACUUUUGGUUUGAAGAGAGUUCAUUUAAUGUCCCGUCUCUAAGCCAAAAAAAAAAAAAAAAACUGUUUUGAAUAUUUUGUAGUGCUUAUAAAACUAUGCAUCCAUUGAGUCUUGUAGCUAAGAUGCUAUAUUUUAGUAAUGCCAUUAACUAUUCAGAGAAGGUUAUGGUGUUAACAGGAAACACAGUUCAUGUAAUCUAUUCUGUUGAUGAUGUUUUAGGCUUUAGGAAAUCAGAAUUUUGGACUACUCUGCUUCUGGAGCUGCAGCUUCCACAAGACAUAUGGGUAAUUCAAGAGACACAUCAAAUCCCAUCACAUAAAAUCCACUUAUCAACUUCAAAACAUGGCAGUGGUUGGCUCUCUAGAUUCUUACCUAGAGGUCACGGAUUCGAUUCCUGCUUGUCCAUCGUGUGGUGCAUCUUUGGGGCGAACUUUGCACCAUCGCAGGGGAUUAGUCUGGUGUAAGUCAAGAUACCCUGUCUCAACAACAACAAAAAAACCUUCAAAACAGGGCAUCACCAACUUCUGUUGAGCAUUGUCAAUGGGGAUUGAAAUAUUAUCUCAGUAAUAAAAUUUCACAGUUGUCAUCCUUUCAAAUGAGAGUUAAAAAAUGAAAACUCAGGAAAAGGCAAAAGCAGACUUGCUAGUGAAAAGCAGCACAAAGUAAUCGCUGCUUCAAGUGACAAAUAUAUCCUGGACACAGUAAUGCCCUGAUGCACUAUGAGCAUUGUCAAUGAGGAGCCCAAUCAUGAAUGGCUUUUUCCAUAAAAACAUGUGAAUAAGUACUUUUGAGUAACUUGUAUUGAUUGCAUGCCAAUAAAAUCAUCGAACCCAACUUCUAUCAAUGAAGCUAUUUGUGAUUGAGGCAGUUCGCUCAUCAGGCCACAAUCAAGUUUAACUUCGACCUAUUCCUGACUCAAAUACAUUAUUGUACGUGUAUAUUACAGGUUCAAAGGUAAUCCAUUUGGCCACCAAACUAGAAGUGAACCCUGUUAUCAGCCCAAAGCAGGUGAAAAGUCGAUGCCAAUUGAUGAAAAACUACUGAGGUAACUAGGGAUGGCAAUGGGCGCAGGUGCCCGCGGAGGGCUCACGGGGCGCGGGUUGGGGCGGGGGGGGGGCAAUUUUUUCCCCCCGCUUAGAAACGGGGCGGGGGGCGGGGGUAUACUCCCCCGCCCCGCCACUCGCAAAAUAUAUAUAUAUAUAUAUAUAUAUAAAUGACUAUAUAUUAUAUGUAAGUUAAUUAGUUAUAAACUUAUGAUAAUGAUAUUAUUAGUUAGAUGUAUUAUAUAACGUAUAUUAGUUUAUAUAAUAUAAUUGAUAUUAUCAAUUAUAUGAAUAAUUAUACAUGUCUACUAAUAGAAUUUAUUAAUUAGUUAUACUAAAUUUACUAAUACAUUUAUACUAAAUUUCUAAUUACACUUAAUAGAAUAACAUUUUUUUCUCAAAAAAAAAAGCACAAACACAAUGAUGAAUUAGUGAUUGUAUUUGUACUAAAAGUGAAAAUUUGACUAUUUUAGUUAUAUUUAUUUCAUCAUAUUGGAUUGUAUUCAAAUAACUUCUGUUUGAUUGUUUUUAUGAGUUUCAAUUGUAAAAUUACAAUGAAUAAUAAUUUGGUGAUGUGUUGAUAUUUUAGUACUUGAUUAUUUAUUAAAAUUUAAUUAUAAUAAAAUUAUAUAAUAAAAUUUUAUUAACCCCGCGGGGGAAGCGGGGCAAGGCGGGGCGGGGGCGGGGCUGGGGGAGCGGGAGACGGGGGACGAGGCGGGGGACGGGGGGAACUAAUAGGCAACGGGGCGGGGGACGGGGGAGGGGUCCCCCGCCCCGUUGCCAUCCCUAGAGGUAGCAUAGAAUAGAAGGGGCUGUGGCACAGCAGGCUGAAAUGCAUGAACAACUGUGGCAAAAUCUCACAUUCAAGAGAUUCUUAUCCAUUUUGGAAAAGCAAAAGAUGAAUCCAUGUAAACAAUUUCUUGCAAGACUCACAAGCAACAAUUCCUACGAUUUGCACCCUAAUGAACAAAAUUGCUUAAAAAGGAUUCCAGAGCAUCAAAGAUUCAUCCCAUAAUAUUCAUUCUGAAAGCGUUCUGACGCCAUUACUUCACUACCAUAUUUACAUAGAAUUACGUCAGAAUUAAGAUCCACAAAAGAUCCCGCAAUUAGAAAUAUUCCAGCCGUAGGCAAAAACAGAGUGCAUCAAGUCACUCGAAAAACACAAAAGAUCCUGCAAUUAGAAAUAUUCCAGCCGAAUCCGGAUUAAUCUCACUGAAGGUGGAAAUAUCGAGUGCUCAAAGCAAAAAGAAAAUUUAUAAAGGAACAUAUUUGUUGCAUAUUUAUUUCAAAGCAUAUAUUAUUUUAUCUUAUAAGCCAUAGUUGUAACUAUUUAUAAUUCAAAGGAUCAUAUUGAUUAGGGUAAAAUAUAUAUAAAAAAAAAAAAAAAGCCCCCUUAUAAUUUGGGAUUUGGCCAUGAUACCUCCUCAUUAUUUAAAAACCCUCAGAUAACCCCUUUAUGUUUUAAACUUAUUUGGAAAUUGGAUGAAAAUCAUCCCAAUUAACGGAGAGAAUUGCAAUGUCCAUGCUACCCUCUUUAUUUUUUCAUUUCUGCCUUUUAUUUUCAUUUUUAUAAAAAUAAGCAUUUUGUGGUUUACCAAAGCUUAAGCGGCCAAAAUCAUGUUCUUAAAAUUUUUAUGGUUUAACAAAAAAAACUUUAUAGGUCAAAAUAAAUUUUAAUAAAAAUAUCAUCUUCCCCUAAGUCCUGAUUUAUAAAAAUAUAGGCCAAAAUCCUGAUUUCACAACUUCAUGUGCAGUCCCGGAUGCAAAAUUUUCCACGAAAAAUAUACAAGUUAGGCACGUCAAGUAUAGCUCAAGCCUACCACUUUAAUACCAAAGAAUGCAGUAUACAUCGCUUAGACCACGGAGGCACCAUCACGCCCAUCAAUUGCCUCCCCAAAGCCCGAAGAAAGCCAUGCAUCAGCAUCACUACUUGUCUUCCGCAGCCAAGGAUCUACAUUUUUUUUUCCUUUUUGCCAAAUGGAAACUGAUAGGCCACAAAGCAUCACAAGUAAUUUGUUCUAACUUGAGAACAUUCUUACACACCCCACAGUAUACUUGAGAACAGUCUUGCCGUUCUUCAUCACCGGAGCCACCCUAUUGCUAAUACUCUCACGAGUCUUCUGGGUUUUUCUGGUGGUGACUAUUUUGGAUGAAUUGACGAAUGGAAGGCUGGCUGGCAUUGAGAAAGAGAGAUCAGAGGUGGAAGACAAGCACCCACCCCUCCCCUCCCUCCCCUACCCCUCUCCCUCUCCCUCUCCCUCUCCUAUUUGCCGGCUGAGAGAGGGGGAGGAGGAAAAAGGGGGGGGAGAAGGAGAGGGGGAGAGGAGGAGGGAGGAAGGAAGAGGGGGAGGGUGGUGGCGCUAGAGGAGGGGGAAGAGAAUGAGGGGGGUGGCAGAUGACGGGAGGCGGUGGUGGAAGGGGUAGGGUGGCAGGGGUGGAGGGAGAGGGAAGUGGUGGGAGUGAUGGAUGAAGGAAGGAGAUGAUGGAAGCAAUAAAAAUGAAGAAUUCAGUUGAUAAAAAAGGAAGCUAAUCAUGGAUACUUGUAGGUAAGUAGGUUCAUGCUUCUGGUUCAAAGACAUACAUCCUGGACAUAAAGCACUUGUGCAAUGCAGAAACAUGUAACUGAUCUCAAAAGGAGGCUAAUCAUGGAUACUUUUUCCUUAAGACCCGGACACCUCUCCUUAGUAUCUAGUACAUAUUCAAUGUGAACAUGAUCAAUAAAACAAACUGCAAUGAACUAAGUGGAUAUUGGCAUUCAGGAAUAUGGCAAAUUACACUAACCUCUACCUAGAUUCAUUAGUAAAAAAGACCUCUCAUUUUGUUAUUCCAGUUACAACUACUCCCUAUGCUCACGUUAGCAGAGAAUUUAUUCACAACAUAACACUGGGGAUGCAACUACUCAGAAUAUGUAUGGGUUUGGAACAACUUGUGUGAAGAUACAACAAAUAAUUGGGUUGAAGGAAAUAAUCAAACAUCUGGUUUAAGAAACUAGUGAAGAAUAACUUACAGCUUCUAGUUUGAUAUGCCUUAUGGACACGCAUACCUUCAGCAUAAAUCUGAUACAUACAGGUGAUGCCAGAAGGAGCCUAACCAUGAAUAUGCUUUCCCGAAAAUCAUGAAAACACCCACUAAUAAGAAAUGGAAUUCCACUUGAGCUUAUCAUCCACAUUCAGCUGCACUCGCCGAAUUAUUGAAACAAAGGUAGUUUCUUUUAAAGCUAGAAUUAUAAGAACCUCAACCAGCUUAACUCAAGUACAUUAAAGGUGAACAUUACAUGUUUAAAUGUAAAAUGUCUGUCGAAAUCUAAAAAUGUAUCAAGGAAUUGGUCUACAAUAUGAUGAUAAGGUAAAAACUUCACUGAGAUCAUUAAUAAACUACUAGAGUGAAAUAUUUUCUGCCUAAAUUGAAUGGAGAAAACCCUCUCAAAUCAUUGUGAUGUAGAAAAAAUUUAUAAUUGUAAGGUAUCUAUAGCUAGAAUCCAGUUGCAAAAAUUUUUCCACGAAAAGAAGAAGCAUAACAGUUGAAUCUCACAACAAGGCCACAAGAUCCAUUCAAAUCAUUUUAUUGAUUCUUAGAGUGCUUUUGAACCAUACUUACUGCUAUCCAAUUUAUGAAAAAUAGCAUGUAUAACUAAAUUUCCUUAAGUUAUUAUCUCAAACAGGUGAAUUAUAAGGUUAAAGCUGCACGAGGAAAUCAUCAAGAAGCUAGUAAGAUGCAAUACUUGUUGCCACGCUAACAGACUUUCUAUGUAUCUAAUUUCUAAACCAUCCAGCGCUACACAUGCUUUCAAAAAUGUAUUUCAAUUAUCAGGAAGCAAAAGAAGAACUUUAAUAGAAAACCGGAUAAAGCUAGAGGGCACCUAUUCCAAAAUUUUGGCAAUCAGAGGAAUAAUAAAUAUAACAAUGAAAUUACAACUAAAACAUCUGGGAAUUAAGCUGCAAGACUAAUUUAGUUCACAAAAUUUAUCCUUAAAGCACUCCACAACCAUUCCAAGUUUACAUUAAUCCACAUAAUAAACACCACCAUUUAAAACCAAGUAAUGGUUCCAUACUGUUAAAAGUGUUCAAGUGGUAGGCAGGCAAAAAGAAAGUACAUAACGCUACUUAGUAGUUAGUACAUGAAGGAACGUUUGAGAAACAAGUCAAACACAGGCGAGCGUCUUCAUAAUAGGGUAGGCAUCCCUCCACUCAUUCAAGUUAUCUCUACAGCCAUCAUCAGUAUCUGUUGGCCCUACUUCAGCGAGCACCUCAACGACCAUGUCAUCGAUGUCAUACAAAAUUACUUUGCCCAGAAGAGAUAUCACUAGCCUCGCCUUCUUUUCAUUCUCAUCCUCAACAAAAUAAGUUAACGAAAAUCUACAUCGCCAAUCAUCAGAGUGAUUGAACUCUUCAUCCACCAUUGAGGGGUAUAAAAUAGUUAGAGGAGCAAGAUUAAGAUGGUACUUCAGAACCCACUCAGAACAUCCACUUGCCAACUCAAAAACAUCAAACAACAUUUCUCCAGGGUUGUUAAUAUCAAUAAAGUACAUACAUCCAACAGACUCACCAAAGUACCAAAUUUCAGAGUGCUUCAUUGAGACAGGAGGAGAAGGCAAUGUGAAGUUAACGUCUUCUUUAUCUAAAUCAAAACAAACGAUAUCCUUCCAAUGAGUAAUCCAAUUAAGACAGCCAUUCCAUAACACACCGUUCCUGAAAUGCGUAGGUGAAUGAGCAAAAUCUAUCUCAAAAAUGUCCCCACUGUCCCUCCAAGUCCCAGUUUCUGAUUCAUAUAUAGAGAAUCCAUAAUUAACAUUCAUGAUUCUCAUCGUGGGGGGUCCCAACCAAACACACACCAAUUUAUAGUGAUCAGAUUUUAAAGGAUCAAAUGCAAUAUUCAGAGCCACAAAGGGAUGCCUAUUUUCCAAAAGAUUGAGCUGUGGGAUAAGCCUGUGCUGACUAGUUGUGGGGUUGUACACAGCAAAUUCUCGACUACCAUUGCUCAAUUUUAACACAACAGCUACUAACCCAUUACAAGAAUGUAAAUCCGUAAUUUCACCUUCAGUAAAGAAAUUACUACUUAAGUGGGAGAUGGCAGUUUCCAUUGAACUUGCAUACUCGUCGGAGAAAGAGAUGAAAUUGAGCUCCGGGCAUUUCCGCCAUAUUUUGCGGAACAAAAUGAGGGCUCGAGUGUUGCUGCUGCCACAGUAGAGACGGCGGAAAGAGGGGUUAGAAAUGAUCGAGAGCCAUCCUCUGGAGACACAUUGGAAGCGGAUGAGGGAUUUUGGAGGUAAACAAAGUAAAAUUUGUGUCAAGAGAUCUUCAUUGUGGGCUACGACGAUCCCUGCUGCUGAUAUAUGAGAGCAAUCUUGAGGUGGGUUUUUGAGGGUGUUUGAGGAAUCAGGUGAGAGGCUGAAUCUUGAUUUACCGGCAAGCGGCCAAGCAGUAGAGGAGCGGAGGAGGGUUUCUUCGGCUUCAAAUGGGUGCCCAGCCAACGGGUCCGUGGCGGGAGAACCGCCCUCGUCGGGAAACAUUGCUCCAAAUUCUGUUUCUAUUAUUGUCCACAGGCAGAAUUGGGGAUUUUGAUUUAGAAACCAGUACACCUAAUGGGUUUUGGCAUAUACUAGGAGCAUUCAAAUGUAAUAUUCUAAGUAUAAAUUUUUAAAAUUUUUAACGAAUUAAUUUUUCCCGCGUUGAUAGCUAAUGUGCGUCAGAUGAAUAAUAAUUAUAAAAAUUUUAAUUUUGAAAUUUAAUUUAUAUAAAAUUUAAAUUUAAAAUUUAAUUUUAAUAAUGUAUAAACUAUCAAUUUAUGUAAAAUUUACUCAAUUUUAAUUACUUCAAAAAGCGACUUAAAUUCAUAAAUAGUUCCGAUUGUGCAUGUGCAAAUGUUUAUAGUAGUAUCAUAUAAGUGGGGAGUUCUGCAAUACUUUUUUUUUUUUAUCGAUGAAUUGUAUUUAGAUGAUUUUAAAAUUUUAAAUUAUUGAACGCUGUGAUAAGAGUUCAUUGAAUUACAAUUAUGAGUAAAAUAUAAUAUUAAAGGAGAUGAUAUAAUUUACCUAAAUUAUGUCGUCAAAGGGUAUGAAAUAACAAUUCAUUGUUACAAUCACGAUACAUGAGGUGUGUAUUAGUAAAUGGAGUUAUAUUAAUCCCAACAUUUAUUUUGAGCCAAUAAGAAACUUAACUUGGACACCGAUAAUACUUCUGGAAGCUUCUUAAAAGUCAUAUCCGUGUCGUACAAAAUCACCUCACCCGAUUAUUGGUCGCUCUAAAAGGGUAGUUUUUGCAUCUAUUCGCGAUAGAAUCUGGCAAAAAGUAACGGUUGGAAGGAGCAGCGGCUUUCCAAGGCAAGAAAGGAAAUCAUGCUAAAGGCGAUGGUUCAGGCUAUUCCUACUUAUUCAAUGUCAUGUUUCAAAUUUCCAGAUUCCUUAUUAUCAGAUAUCCAAUCAAUGAUGACCAAAUUUUGGUGGGGAGAUGGUGAUAAAGGAAGACCUAUUCAUUGGAUAAGUUGGGACAAACUCUGUAAACAAAAGGAAGAUGGGGGAAUGGGAUUCAGACAACUACGGGCUUUCAAUUUAGCUUUGCUUACUAAGCAAGCUUGGAGGAUUGCCACACAACCUUCCUCCCUUCUAGACCAAGUUUUCAAGGCCAAAUAUUUUCCUAACUCGGAAUUCUUUUUGGCAGGACUAGGGUCUCGCCCCUCAUUUACUUGGAGGGGAAUAUAUGAAGCACAUAAAUAUUUGGUCGCAGGAAGUAGAUGGAGGGUCGGUAAUGGGAGAGGUAUCCAGAUUUGGAAAGAUCGCUGGCUACCUCGACCUACAACUUUUAAGGUUAUAUCUCGUUCGGAUAAGUUGCCUGAGGAUACUACAGUGGAUUACCUGAUUGACAACAAUAAAAGAACUUGGAAACAGGACCUAUUACACGAGUUAUUCUGGCCAGAUGAGAUUGAAUUGACUAAGAGUAUUCCGAUUGAUAGCACUCAUAAUCAAGAUAAACUCAUAUGGCAUUUUACACAAAAUGGAUUUUUUAGUGUUCGAAGUGCUUACCUUCUAAUUACGCAGCAGUCCGGAAAUUGGCAAGACAUAGCUUCUGGGAGCAAUGGAAUGGCAAAAGGAAUCUGGAAACGAUUAUGGGGCUUAACCUUGCCAGGUAAGAUCAAGAUUUUUUUGUGGCGGGUUUGCAAUGACAUUCUGCCUACGAAUGCCAAGCUUAACACUCGAAAAGUUUUGCUUGAUCCCUCUUGUGCCCUGUGUCACUCUCCAACUGAUGAUAUGAAUCAUCUCUUCUUAACGUGUUCGGUGGCUAUUCAAUCAUGGGCGUUGAGUUUUUUAUCUAGUAAAAUCAGGUUGAAUUCAGCUCAUAAUGUGGUAUCUUGGUUGUCAAAUCUCCAGAUGAAGUUAAAGAAGGAAGAAAUGGAAUUGGUUGCUGUUAUACUCUGGAACUUGUGGAAUAAUCGCAAUGGGGCUGUAUUUGAUUCCUCUUACAAGGACCCGCUCAGUCUGGUAUCCUUUUCGUUACACUUCUUGAGUCAAUUCCAGGAGGCAAACAGGACCCCAAUGGCUGCUGAGCAUUGCUCUGCCAUUCAACAAUCUGUUUUGUCCCAAUGGAAGAGACCUCCUGCGGGCUAUGUUAAAGCUAACUUUGGCAGGGCUAUCUUUGUUGAGGGGGACAUUUCAGGUAUUGGAGUUGUCAUUAGAGAUGCUGAGGGUAAUUUCGUGGCAGGAUUGGCAAAGCAAAUUUCAGGGAUUUUUGCACCAGAGGUUAUUGAAUCUUAUGCUGCAAAGGCCGCGGUUGAGUUGUUGUUGGAUCUACAUUUGCACAUGAUUAUUCUUGAGGGUGAUUGUCUAAAAGUCGUUAAAAUGCUUCAAACUACAGAGACAGAUGCAUCAGCUUGUGGAAUGCUGGUAGAUGAUAUACUCAUAGAUAUACAAAGCUUUGCAGCGUGGGAAGCAUCAUGGGUGCCUAGACAGCUGAACAAUGUCGCACAUUGUGUUGCUAAAUAUGCUUGUUCUAUUUCUAAUGGCUGUAUAUGGAGGGACUUUCCUCCAGAUUUUAUUAUUACCGCGCUUGCUGUGGACAUCAUCUCAGAUUAAUAAUAUUUUUGUUCUCUUUCUAUAAAAAAAAAAAAAAAAAUCACCUCACCCGAUAGUACAGGCAACGAGAGGUAAUACAAGCAUUGGUUUUUCUUCUUUUGUGCCAUCCCAAAGACUAUAAAACUGAUUGAAGACUUCAUCCUUCAACCCCUUCAUUAACGGACCUUGUCAAGUUUCCCUGGCACGAAUUACCUAUCCAAUAAACAUCACCAUUCCAUAAAACGCCAUUAUUGAAAGACCACCAAGACCACGUAUCUCAAGAACAGGUGUCCUUACUCCUUAGUAUCCCUCCAAAUCCAAGGGUCCUGUUUGGUAAAUAAAUUUUUUGGAUGUAUUCUUAAAAAAACUCUGGAAAAAUCGUCCAAAACGUCCUUCAUAUUUUGUAAAAUAACUUUUUUCAUCCCUCACUUUUAAAAAUGUAAUUUUAUGUCCCUUACAUAUUCACAUCGGUCAAAUUUAGUCCCUAACUAGGUUUCCGAUCAUUUUUUGGCCAGAAUCCAUCAUGUGCAAGGUACGUGAUCAUUUUUGAAAGGUAAAUCUGUCAAAUUAUAUUUUACAUAAUCUAAGCUAUAGUCCUCCACAUUUUAUAAAACAAAUUUUUUCGUCCCUCAUAUUUUAUAAAAUAAUUUUUUCAUCCCUCACAUUUCACAAAAUGAAUUUCUCCAUCCCUCACAUUUCAAAAAAUGAAUAUUUCCAUCCCUCACUAAUUAUGUGUGUAAGGGAAACCCUAAAUAUGUGUGUGUGUGUGUGUGUGUGAAUACAUUUUGUUUAAACACAUGUAUAUGUUUAUUUGAUUUUACUUAAUUAUACGAAUAGCAUAAAUAUAUGUAUGUGUCUAUUUGAUUUCACUCAACAAUACGAAUAUCAUAUAUUAUACGUGAUCAUUUGAUUUCAUCUGGUAUUAGCCAGUAAAAAAUCUUACAUUCAUUGUCAAGUUAGCUAAUAAAACUAUUUUUGGUCAAAAUACAAUAAGAAUAUGCAAAUUAAGGUUCUAUUGGUAAAAAUUAGUCAUAAUCAUACAAAAAGAGAAGAUAGCCCACAAGUUGGGCCCAAUUACAUACAUGUGUUUAUGCUAUUAUUAUUAAGCAAAAUCAAAUAGAUAUAUACAUGUGUUUAAAAAAAAUGUAUUCACACAUAAUUAGUGAGGGAUGGAGAAAUUCAUUUUGUGAAAUGUGAGGGAUGAAAAAAAUCAUUUUAUAAAAUGUGAGGGACGAAAAAAUUUAUUUUAUAAAAUAUGGAGGACUAUAGAUCAGAUUAUGUAAAAUAUAAUUUGACAAAUUUACCCUUAAAAAAUGAUCACGUGCCUUGCACAUGAUGGAUUCCGGCCAAAAAAUGAUCAGAAACCUAGUUAGGGACUAAAUUUGACCAAUGUGAAUAUGUAAGGGACAUAAAAUUAUACUUUUAAAAGUGAGGGAUGAAAAAAGUUAUUUUAUAAAAUGUGAAGGACGUUUUGGACGAUUUUCCCAAAAACUCUCCUAUAAUAUGUGUGAUUUUUUAAAAAAUUUACUGUAGCAAAAAUAAAAAAAAUUUCUCAACUGGGAACAAUAAUUUGCAAUCCCAAAAAAUUGUGAAAAUUAUUUGCUUUGCCAAAAUAAUUUAGGGAACCUGUACCCAAGUUGAUUCUGAAUUAGGCACGCACAGAAGUGGCAAAUCGAGCUCUAUCUUUUUGAGCUUUCAUUUGUUUAAUUAAUGUCGACUGGCAAAUGUAAUUAGGACUUGGAAGUUGAAGUAUUUAAUUAGGAUUCUCUUGUGUGUGUUAAUUUGAUCAGGUGUUUUAGAAAGUGCAAUGGUAAGUGAAAGGUAUAUUAAGUAUGACAAAAAGGGCACAACGGAUUUUUUGUCCUACAUCCUAUAUCACUCCCUGUUCCACUUUUUAUUAUAUUGCUAUUUCGCCUACAUAAAUAUCAUAUCUUAGUUCUUUUUUAUUUUCUUAAAAUUCAACAACUAUUAAUUGAGUAAAAGAUAAAUACAGCAGAUUCAAAAAAGCAAUAUAUAAUAGAAAAUUAAAAAUAUAGCAGAAAAUUCAUAAAAAUUCUCAUUUUUUAUGCAUUUUGAUUUUUUGAAUUUGUUAUAUUUUGUGUAUUACUCAAUUAAUAGUUAUUGGAUAUUAAGGAAACAAAAAAGAACUAAAAUAUGAUAUUUCAGAAACCUCCCCUGAGGCUUUUGAUAAUUACAGCGAUGUCCCUUGAUGUUUGAAAAAUUAUAGAAACAUCCCUUAAAAGUAUAUUUUGGUGACAAAUACUGAUGUAAGCACAAAACAUCUAAUGAAUAUCCUAUAUUACCCCUAUUUGAUUUAUAAAACAAAUUGAAUGAUAAAAGAAAUCAAAUAUUAGCAUUAUUUCCUAAGUAAAAAAUUUUAAUGUAGCUCUUUGUAGUAAAAUUUAGGCCAUAUUUUAAGGCAUUAUUUUUUAAUGUUUGGAUUUCUUUUCUUUCUUUUACUAAGUUGUGAAGAAACUAUUUUUAACAAAUGAAUCUAUUUAUAAAACUAAACAAGAAAUCUAUUUAAAUGACCUAAGAAUUGAAUAUCAUGUAUUAACUGUGAUGAGCUUACAAAUUUUGGAUAAAGAAAUAUUUGCAGAAUGUGAUUUUCUUUUUUCUUUAUACCCAUAUUCAUUUAGAAUUUAUAAAGUUUUCAAGGUUAUUAUAGUAUUUUCAUAAUACCAAGGGAGAUAAGUGUAAUUUUUUAAAUCUUAAGAGAAGUGGCUACAAUUGUUAGAAAUCUUAAACUUCUUUUUUUAAUUAUGCACUGCUUAUUUAGUUAUUUUACCUUGCAAGUUACAAACAUAUGUAAUAAUAUUAAGACCUGUUACAUAAAACUAUAUAAAAAAAAAAGGCCUAUCAAUGCAUAUAAUUAUUACAUUUUAAUUAUUAUUCCAAGAAAACUUUAAAUGUGAUGGAGGUAAAUGAAUAUGUAUUUUAUUUAAAGAGAUAAGGCACUUAUAAAGACAAAUUCCAAUGGUUCUUCAAAUAUGAAUUAUCUUCUCAAAACCUUAAUAAAACUAAAUAGUUCAUUCUUAAUAUCUGCCUUAAGCUUCACAUUGAUAUAUAACCCCUUUGCCUAUCUUACUCUUUAUUAUUGGCUAAAAAUUUAUUUUGUCACAUUCCUAAGUAUUACAGUGUAACCUUGAAAACUAAUUUAGUUGCUAAUUGUGUUCUAUAUGUAAUACCUUAAGAGUUUUAACUUUUAACUAAUAACUAAUAAGUCGAGACUUAGCAAAUCAAAAGAACUCAUCAAUUGAAGUAAUUAGCACUUUAAAAAAAUGCUACCACACAUACUCCCAGAAUAGUUAUUUUCAAGUCCAAUAUAAAAAACUUUAAAAGCUAUUAAUGCAUAUAAUUUUUUAAAAAUAAAGCAUAUAUUGUUUAUUUCUUCAAUACUAUAGAAAGACAUGAAAAUAUCAUAAGGAAAAUGAACAUUUAGUGGAAAGAAUAUCUCAAAGUAAUAGGUUUAAAUAUGUUAAAUAUCCAAUGUCGCAAUAUCAUUUAUUUUUCCUACCUCCACAAUUGAGUGGUUAAUCAUACUUAAUUAUUACCAUAAAAAAACUAAUAAAAAUGAUCCAUGGAUUAAAAUAUUUGCCGAAAGGAUUUCAAUAGAUAUAUUCGAAUUAUUGAGUUUCAUGCCUGCAACUCCUAUAUACAACUGUGAUAAUAUGACAUCAACAAAGAAAUUCUAAUAUUACAGGUUCCGCUAAAUUCUACUUUUAUGCUUAGGAGGUAUUAACAAUACAUUAAGUUCAAAUUGGAACAUGCACCAAGUUUCCACCCUACAUAAUUUUUUUCUACUUCAUUUAGUGUCAUCAUCUAUUUUCUUCCUUCCUUUUAUAGAAUAUCCAAUCACAUGAUUGAGUUUAAAAAAGGUAUGAACCAAAUAAAGGUUCUCGAGAGUAUUUCUUAGUCUAUUCUUGAAUUAUUAAUUAGUUUAAAACUAAAAUGGUUCUUUCACUGAUUAGUAAUUAGAUUAAGCUUAUAUCCUAAUUGUUUUAGAAUUAUUUUGGUUCCAACUUUUUGAUCUUGUUGUUCUAUGUACUAUUAUCAGUUAUCAAUACUAUUUUCCUCUCUUCAUUGUUUACCAUGUGAAUUUAAGACACCUUUUAAGUUCACCUAAGAGUAGUGACACUUAAAAAAAAAGAGAGAGAAAUUAAGAUCAGUAACAAUUUGUUGCUUGAUAUUUUGUAUUUUAGCUUUUCACAUUUUCUUGGCUUUCUAUGGUAAUUGACUGUAUAUUUUUUUCUUCUAUUGAGAGAAAAAUAAGUGCUUUCCAUACUAAUUUUUGUUAAGUUGAAAACCAUCAAAAUCUUUUAACUUAUGAUUACAACUUCUUAAUUAGUUGCAAAAUCACUGAAAUAGAUAUUAGAAGUUUCAAUAUAGAUAAUAUAUAUUAAUAUGCAAAUUUACUAAAAAAUCAUUUGAAAAUCUAGUUUAAGAAGUAAAACCUAGACAAGAUAAUAUAGAACCAGGUUCCUUGCCACAUAAAAUGAUACAGCUUAAAUAGUACCACAUUAGUCUCCUUGCUUUCCGCUAUGGAAACCCCAUGCAAAACGGUGUUUCUAUUCAUUUGGUUAGAUGUUCAAAUCUUAAUUGCUAAUCACAAACAAAUUCCCCUUAUUUUGCGUCACUACCUACCAUUAAGCGACAACUCUAUUGAAAGAUUGCAGUAACCGUAUCUCAUUACUCUCCGAUUAGGCUUUUUAGCCCUUGAAGAUGAUUUCCUUUGAGAGUUAAAGUUGACACAAUAUACAAAUAUUUACAUAAUAGAGAGCGAAUUCAGGGGCAAAAAAUCAAGCUUAUUAUGAAGGGACAAAUUUUUAAUAGAAAUAUUGAUUAAGUUCGUUACACAUUAUGUAUAUGAAGCAUAUCUAAUACAAACUCAACAAUGGAAAUUUAAACACUUCAUGUGUCUUAAAAUUUGAAAGUUUAGACAUAUCUCAUAAUAGAAUAUGAGAAGCUAGUUAUUGCUAUUGCUCCGAUUGAUAGUGUGACAACAGUUGAAAUAUUGCAAAGACUGUUUCUAAGAUAGUAAUGUUAAAAGGUUUACAAUCUUUAUGUCUUGAUAAAUUUUUUCACUUAAAAAAUAUGCAGGUAAAAUUAAAAUGGUGUGUUCCAUAGUACACCACUUAUAAAACGUCAUUUAGCUCAUAAAAUUUACCCAAUUAAUAUUUUUUAUCCAAAAGUAAGUAAAGGCUACUCAAACAAGAGUAACAAUUUUCAAUAUAAUCCAGCUAUAGCCAUUGAAGCAGUUAAAGCUCAUUUAAGGAUUAGUCAAAACUUAUAUGGUAUCCCAACCUUAAGUGAAUAUAUGCAUGAAGUCUAUUAAUAUGUUGCGUUCGAUAUUAUACCAUGUACAAAUGUUUAUCUGGAGAGCAAAAAUUGUCCAUUUUUAAUUUUGGAAAAAAUUCUUUAUAUUUGAAAGCAAGUAAGGCCACAAAACCCCUGUUUUGUUAUCCAACCUCUGGUGAAUAUAUGUAUGAAGUACAUUGCAGAAUUCUAUUUUUUCUGAACUAUAACACUCGAGCUUGGAAUGAUUAUAUAAUAAUCCUUGUCACAAUUUUGCAACAUAAACAUUAUAAGAAUCACUUCAAUCUUUAACCAUCGGAGUUAUCUUAAAUUUUAAAUCCUAAAAGCCAUAUUGUUAUCCAAGCACUUUAGUUCACAAAAACUAUGUGCUUUGUUCUUCAAGUAAAGCCUAAAAAUAAAGGAAAAAAACCUGUGGGUUUUUUCUUCUCUGGUUGCUUGCUUGAAGAACGAAGGUAAAAGAAUCAUUAUUUUGAAGCAACUGAAUAAAUGAAGUCUUGAUCUUGUAGGAAUCUAAGAGAUGCUGGUUGUAUAAAGUGAUGAUCGGAUGAAGAAAAAAUUUUCAAUUAGGACCGUCUUUUAUGUAGGAUAUCUAUGAGUGUUUAAUGCAACAACGCAGCAAGAGUAUUUUAGAAAACUCCACAAUAAGUGAGGAUAUAUUAAUCAUCACAAAAAAGAGAAGGAAUACCAUUAUAUUAUAUAAUAAAUUAGGAUAAAAUACACUUUAUUCCCUUGUGAUUAGCAAUUUUUCACUUAACCCCAUAUAGUUUCAAAAAUUAUAUUUAAACCCCUCAUAAUUUAAAUUAAAGUGUUAAAGUGGCAGAAAUGAUCCUAUGUAAUAGAACUCAUGAAAAUGUCGAAAUUAUCCUUAUUUAAAAAUAAAAAUGGUUGAAGUGAGCAAAAUAUAUAAAUAUAAUAUGUACGACAUUUUAACCCCGUAUAAUUCAAUGUUUUACCAUAUAACUCUUUUAUAAUUUAGUGGUUUACCACAUAAUCUCGUUAUAAUUUUCAAAAUAUAUACAUAACCCUCCUUAGUAAAUAGUUUUCAACUUUACAUAAAUGUAUUUUUGACAUUUUAGUUGACUCUAUUAUGGAAUGCAAAUUUCAUCGUUUUGAUACUUUAGUUCAAAUCAUAAGAGAAUUAUGUAUAGUUUUGGAAACCAUAGAGAAAUUACGUGAAAAAGUACUAAAUCACAGGAGAUAAAGUGUAUUUUACCCUAAUAAUUAAUAAUAGAUAGAUGACAUAUAUGAGUGUUUCUAUAUAUAUAUAUCCUUAUACCCUAUUUGGUGAUUCCAGUGCAUUUUGUUGUCUUAUACGUGUAAGAAAAGCAUAGAUUUUUUAGGCUUAUAUUACAUUUUUGUCCUUUGCUUAUUCAUUGUUUCCCUGUAUACUCUCAAAAGAUCCCUUUGUAUGGUCCUUUAGCUCUUAUGAAGUGGGCUUUUUGAUCAAUUAGUUUGACAAGAUUGCUAUUUUAAAUCACUAAACAGUAAUUUGAGGCCCCAAUUUGCUAAUUCCUCCUCAAAGAUGCUUUUCUUAUGGGUUAUGAUAUUUUUGAUUGAGGGUAAAAUUGGAAAGUUAGUUUUUUUGUAUCCACUUGCAUGUUUCUACUGUUUCCAAUGCCAUUUUCAGCAGAAUCACAAUCAUAUACGUGUAAAAACUCAAUACGGAGAUAGAGAUGUACUGUGCCUCAUGAAUAUAGCUCUGUUCUUUUAGCAUCCACGUUUCGGGUGCUCUGUUGCUUCUGGUUACUUUCAACUUAAAUUCAUCUGCCUGUCUGCAUUUUCGUUGCUCGUAAUGAUUUUUUUUUUGUUUCUCUUUGCUAUAGAUGUUAAGAUUUUAUUUUCGCUUCAAUCUCAUCCACUUUUUUUUGAUGAUUUUUCUGUUGUAUGCAUAUUAUUCAAUAAAUAACUACUAAUCAGUUAUUUUCCUCUUGCUUUGGAUGCAUGGUUCCGGUCACUGUGAAUUUAUGGUUUGCAUGAAUGUGUUUUUGACGUUUUUAUUCUUUUUUCCAGCAGCUACUUAAUACUUGUGCAUAUCUUUUGAUCGGUAAUGUUUCCUCACCUAUAUUUGGUAACUUUUGCUCUGAUUUUCUCCAUCUGCAUGGUUGCAUGAAAUUUGAUUUAUAUUCCUGUCCAUCUUUCUCGAAGAAGCAUUAACUAAAUAUAUUUUUCUCUCGUUUGUGAAUUUUAGCCAGUAAUAUUAAAGUGCUUGUACUCACUGUUAAUUAUAUAUAUAAAGCAAAGCAUAGUUAACUAUAUCAUAGGAUUAGUAGUUAUAGUGAUAGCGAUAAGGUAGCUGCAUCAAAAGCUAUUCGUAAUCAGAAGUUGAGGGAGAAAUGUGCUAUGUUAUCAUCUGAGGAGAAAGAAUUGAGUCGUCUCAAGCAGAGAGAGGCAUAUCAAAAAAGGAAAGCAAAAAAAAAAAAAGAAGCUAUUCAUUUAAGUUAUCGAAGAGAAACCAGCAGUAAAGCUGCGAUUUUGCUUUGCUCUGACAUGCAAGUUACUCCUGAUGAAGGUACAGCUAUUAUUCGUCGUAAUGACUCGUUGAAAUUUAGUAUUGAUCACAAUUCUCAUCUGUAUGAAUGAUAAUUAUUCAGUGUGAUUGUUUUUCUGUUAGGAGUGGUGGAUAACCAACUUAACAAAUGCUGUGAAAAAUCCAUUAGCGCUCAGAAUUUAUCAGCUGGCAACAAUUUUGAUCGCCAACUGCAGGCUAAGAUGCCUUUAUGUACUGAUGAGACUAUUUUUAAUUGGAAAAAAGGUAGAUUUAAUGUUACUGCAUUGCCGUUUCAUUUCUGCUAUUGUUUAAGAAUUUUAGUUGGGAAUAAGGGAAACUUCAUCUAAUGAUGUCUAGACUGUUGGACAAUUAAUGUCUCCCAAUUUUGGGUGUACAAAUCGUAAUUACCUGCAAUUUUCUCUUUCUUUAGGUGCAUUGCAACCUGCUGAUAAGCAGUCUUGCGAAGAAAGUAUCCAUUCUGAUGAACUGCAUCAGGUCCAACUAUGUGCAAAGACAAUUACAGUCUGAUGAAGUUUCUGCAAAAUGAAGUUUUGCAGGCCACUGAAGUCCAGUUUGCAGCAAAUGAAGGUUUAUCCAUACUGUUACAUGCACAGAAACACACACAGAGAGGCUUAGUUAUUUGUUCUUUGUUCAGUUAUUUAUUCGUUUCAUCAUGCACUGUGAGGAGGUGAUUUUCGGUUGGUAACUAGACCGACCUGGAUCAAUCCUCUCUGAGAUGAAGUGAGGUGAACUCCUGUGUCCGAAGUGAAUCUCGGUGUCCGAAGUGAGUGGCGGGGCUUCUCCCCUGGGAUCACUCCGACGAUCAAGUUAGUAUGAGAACGAGAAUAAUAAGAGUAUAAGCAAAUGAACAGUGUGUUGUUUUUUUGUUGGGAGUGUAUCUGGGGUAUUUAUAGAGGGAGAGUAGAGGACAGAGCGGAGGGCUUAUGCUGGUGGGACCCACCCUCUGGUCAUUACGGCUCUGUCCCGUGUCAGGAGGUCUGACUCUGACACUGUAGCUGCCUGAGCAUGAUGACGGGGAGUAUUGUGCAGGUGCCAUUAAGUGCCUCCAGUGCUUUUCAGAUAAAGCACUGGUCCUGGGUGAUGUCAGGUGGUUUGACAUCAUCAGCGUGCAGCUGAGGUGGGGGUGCCGAGGUCGGCUACACAGUAGGCUAGGGAAACGGGCGAGGCCGAGUUCAGGGGUGAUGCCCGGGACACGGAUGAGCUCUGAUGAGGGACGAGGUGAGUUCACCUCGGCCACUCGGGAUGACCGAGGUGAGCAUCCUCAAUAAGCCCCCCAAGCCUCGGAUGCUCCGAGCAAGGGAGGUGCCGAGGCUUCCUUGUGCUGAAGUCAUGAAGAGUCGAGGUCCCGAAACUGCUCCGGAAGAUGCGGGGACGUGACACGUGGGCGAGUCAUUUGACAGGACGUGGAGGGUCGGUUGACACGCAACCGUCAUGUCGUGAAGUAGUGGGACGUUUCGUGAUGAUGGGGUGUCAGUCGAAAGGACGGGUCAUUAAUGAAGAGAGAGAGGGCCACGGCGUUUUGAAUUCGAACGUGGUCGUCUUUUCGUAUUCUUGCCACCUCUUUGGAUUCUGGCCAUCCCCUAUAAAUAGGGGGUCCUUUUCACCGCAUGGCCCAUCAUUUUCUUCUUCUGCCUGCGACUUGCAAAAUUUGCGAGCGUUGCCGAGAUCAAUCCUGCCAGCCGAGAUCACAGCCGAAGUCAUCCACUUCGUCCAGUUCGGUAUACAAUAGUAAGUAUCCCUUUUCCUUCUUAUCUUGUCUUUCACACAUGGUCAAAACGGCUAAAAUUCAUAAAGAAACUGUGACCCCGAGCUACCAGGCCGAGGUGAGGCCAGAUCCGGAAGAAGAAGCGACAACGUCCAGUCCUGAGGGGUCGACGCCGAGUUCUGAAGAAGGAUCAACCGAAGUGAGAGUCGGCGAGGCAGGCUCGGGAUUGGAAUCGUCCGAGAUGAGCGAGGGUGGUUCCGAGGUCGAAUACAAUACCGAGCUCGGGACCGAGAUACCCCAUGACGAGGGCGUUCCGGAGCCAGUUGCUCCAGUGGACGCAGCCGACAUCGACUUCGGCCAGAUGCCGAAGUUUAGGAGUCGCGUAGGAAGAGAUAGGGCCGUGAAGGUGGUAGACAAGUACCCCUUCCGGCCGUGGUACGAAAUUUUGCCGCCCGAGGUGGAUGACACAGCCGCGAAUCCCACCUUUGGCAUGGUGGCCAUCUACGUUCAACAGCUGGAGGCCGGGCUGAGGAUGCCGACGUCGAGGUUCCUCCGGGACUUACUUCGUCACUUCCAGGUGAGAAUCACCCAACUCACCCCGAAUGCGAUCCGCAUCAUUGUGGGGUUUGAGAUGCUGUGCCGACAUCAGGAGGUGACUCCCUCCGUCGAUCUCUUCCGCCGAUGCUACACCCUCAAGGCGCACGCGACGGAUAAGGGAUGGUUUUAUGUUGGCAACUGGAACAAUGCCAUCCCGAAGUUGGUGAUCGGUGCUCCCAACUCGAUCAAGAACUGGAAGCGCGACUACUUCUUCGUGUCCGGAGUGGACUUCCCGAGGGGUUUUUGGUGGAGGCCAAUUAAGGCGAAGGCCGACCCCUCUGUGGGAGAUGUCGAAGAGGAGUCCUUCCAGAAGCUGAUGAAGUCGGGACUUCGGCUGUUCAGCCAUGACUACCCCGAAGCCGUGCUCGUGGAUGGGGGGAUAAGUCGAGCCGUGAUCAAUACUACCAAAGCUCCCUUCUUUUCCACUGAACUUAAGAAACCUUGUAAUUUUCUUUCAUGACUUUUCUUUUCAUUUCGGCUAAGGCAUAUGAUAAUAUUUAUUUCUUGUGCAGUGGUCAAGUUGUCCGAUAUCGUCGGAUCCAGCUCGUCCGAAGUGGCCAAGAGGCCGAAGAGGAAGAGUACUGACGAGACAUCGGCACUUUCGCCGAAGAAGAAGAAAGCACAAGGACAGGCUACCAAGACCCCGGCGGCUACAAGCACUCCCACCAAGGUCGGCCAGAGCAGCUCGGCCACCGCGGCUACUGGGUCCACCUCGUCCGUGCCAAAGGGGGUGCCUUUUGGAGUCGUUACGGCACUCCCACCUCCUCAGGGCCGAGGCAAGCAGUUGAAGGCCCCGGCCAAUCCAGUCUCGGGGACCUCGCUAUGGAAUUUUUUCCAUAACCCCCCAGUGUUUCCCGGGGAGGAGAAGACGCACUCCGGCAAUCAUUGGUGUCCGAACUGGAAAGUUUCGGUCAACGAUAGGUGCAGCCAGCCUCGGGUUGCCCAAGAGCUAGUAAUGCACUCCACUCUGCCAAGGGAUUUGGAGUUCAUGAAAAAACUGAGCCCGGCCGAGCUGGUUCAAAGUCUGAUGGUGACUACGGCUUCCAACUCAGCUUUUACGGCCGAGAUGGCUCACAGAUACUGUGCUCUGGUCGAGGAGCAGGACACCGGCAAGCUACAGAAUCAGAUCUCCAAGUUGGAGAAACAACUGGGGGUGUCCGAAUCCGAGAAGUCGGAGCUUCAGAGGCGACUUCAGGAGGCUGAAGCUAAGGGUGAGGAGGCCGAGGGUACGAUGAAUAGUGUCAGAUCAGCCCUCGAGGAGGAGCAGAAGAGGGGGGACGAGGUGAAGAAAUCCCACGCACAAGCUCUCGAGAGUGCUGGAGCCUCGGCAGUGAACGCGUUUCGGAGGUCCGAUGCCUUCAUCAAGGACCUCGGCCAACUGCUUACGCCUAAUUUCAUGUUUGGCUUCACAUCGGCCAUUGACGAGACCGCAGCUCACCUCUCCUCCGAAGCCUUGGAGUCUUUGAAAAGCCAUGCCAGCUACAAUGAAGACUCCAAGAAGUUAUGUGAUCGGAUGGCCGAAGGCAUUCAGGCAGGAAGGAACUUGGCCGAAAUCCAGGUCGAGUUCAACAAGUGGCUGUCCGAACUCGACGAAGUGUUCGAGGAGGUGGAAGUGGAGGAAGCUGAAGGAGAGGAAGCUGGGGGAGACGAAGCCGGAGUGGACAUCGGCGAAGAGCAUGGGGGAGACGAAGCCGGAGUGGACAUCGGCGAAGAGCAUGGGGGAGACGGGAUUCACCCCGGCGGGGGAGAAGAUGUUCACUCCGGUGGAGAAGAGGCCAAAGAGAAGGCUGCCCAAGAUGGGGCCGAGGUGGGGAAGGGAGCCGAGACUGGGGUCUAGGCUCUUAGUCAUUAGGGAGGUGGCCGAGGUGAGGAGUGCUUAGUCGGGCUCCGACCUCGGUCUUGUAUUCUUUGUAAUGCCUUUUUAUUGAAUGGAAUAUCUACUUCUUCUCAUCUCGGCUCUUUUAAUUUCUCGUUUCGUCCCUUGCUUGUCCCCCUUAUUUUUUAAUAACGAAUGCUGGGCAUCAUAUUGUUGAAAAAUAACUAGAUAGCUGAAGUCAACUUGACAAGAUAACUGGAUGAAGUCAACUUUGAUGAAAUAACUGAGAUGAAGUCAUAACUUCAAGCAUAAUACAACCUAAGAUUCUCGGCGUGCCAAGACCUCGGCACUAAUGAGUCAUCUCGGUAACUAAGUUUACAAUACCCCUUGAGGUCAGAUUCCACGACUCGGUAAGGGCUUUCCCAUUUCGGGCAUAGUUUUCCUUGUGGUUCAGCUCGGCUGACUGAGUUUUUUCUCAGAACCAAGUCUCCAGGCUGGAAUCUACGGUGUUUGACCCGAGCAUUGUAAUAGUGUGCCAGUGCGUUUUUGUAGGAGGCUAUCCGGGCUGAGGCGAGAUCCCUUCGUUCUUCGACAAGGUCGAGGUCCAGCUGCCUCUCUUUAUCGUUCACCUCGGCGGCAUAGGCUGCCAGCCGAGGACUGGGGGUAAGGAUCUCAGCCGGGAUGACAGUUUCGGCGCCGUAGGUCAGUGAGAAUGGGGUCUCUUGUGUUGCUGACCUCGGCGUCGUCCUAUACGACCACAGGACACUGGGGAGUUCCUCCACCCAAGAUGACCCAACUCGGUGUAGUCGGGUCUUGAGACCAUGCAGGAGAGUUCGGUUGAAGUUUUCUGCUUGACCAUUGGCCUGAGGGUGGCCUACCGAAGUGAAGUGUUGUUUGAUGCCGAGGUUCUCGCACCAAGUCUUGAACGGGUUCUCGGCAAAUUGUCUCCCAUUGUCCGAGAUGAUGAUCUGAGGUAUGCCGAAGCGGCAGACAAUGCAUUUCCAAAAGAAUUUUUGAAUGGCCAGCCCCGAGAUGGUCCGAAGUGGCUCGGCCUCGACCCACUUAGUGAAGUAGUCCACAGCAGUCACCAGGAAAGUAUAGCCCCCGACCGCUUUAGGGAAAGGACCUAUGAUAUCUGUCCCCCAUUGCUCGAAUGGCCAAGGUGAAGUGAUGGGGACCAUGAAAUUUGAAGGCGUCACGGUGGGAGUCACUGCGGACAUGGAUUUGUUGGGCGCCGAGUCUACGGGCUAGCUGGAGUCCAGCAAUUAAAGCCUCGUAUUCGGCUUCGUUAUUGGUGGCCGGGAAGCCAAAGCGGAGGGCGUAGGAGCACACCUCUCCCUGAGGUCCUUCCAGAAGAAGUCCGGCACCGCUGCCAUCUCCAUUAGAAGACCCAUCGACAUACAGUGUCCACGUGGAUGGGGUGGACACCUCGGCUUUGACGGAGGUGGACUCCGGACCUUCCGUGAAGGUCAGCUCGGCCAGGAAAUCGGCUAGGGCUUGCGCUUUUAUGGCGGUGCGGGGCUCAUAGGACAAGUCAUACUCUCCCAAUUCCACAGCCCACUUGGUGAGGCGACUAUAGGCUUCGGGCCGCACCAAUAUUUGCCGAAUGGGUUGAUCGGUCCUGACGGAGACGGGAUGAGUUAGAAAGUAGGGUUUCAAUCGCCGAGCUGCGUGGACUAGCCCCAGCACCAGUUUUUCCACUUGAGUGUAUCGAGUCUCCGGCCCGCGAAGAGCUCGGCUGACGUAAUAGACUGGCACUUGGGUGCCCUCAUCCCGAAUGAGCACAGCGUUGACAGCCUCGUCGGCUGCAGAGAGGUAGAGGUAGAGCUUCUCCUCGGGCCGAGGUGAAGCGAGGGUAGGUAGAUGGUGUAAAUACUGCUUCAGCUGGUCGAAAGCAGCUUGACACUCCUCAGUCCAGGCGAAUUGGUCAGCCUUUUUCAGCACCUUAAAGAAGGGCAGAGCUUUCUUGGCGGAUUGGGACAGGAAUUGAUUCAGAGCGGCCAGGCGUCCAUUCAAUCUUUGGACUUCUCGGACGUUCCGAGGUGGGGACAUGUCCUGAAUGGCCCUGACCUUGUCGGGGUUGGCCUCGAUUCCCUGUUGGGAAACCAGAUAUCCCAGGAAUUUUCCCGAAGUGACGCCGAAGACGCACUUCUUGGGAUUCAGGUUCAUCCUCGAGUCUCGCAGGACACCAAAGACUUCCCUCAAGUCUGACAGGAAGGAUGAAGUGGCGAGACUUUUGACGAGGAUGUCAUCCACAUAGGCCUCCACAUUGCGGCCGAUCUGAUUUUUGAAGAGUCGGUUGAUCAGCCUUUGGUAGGUCGCCCCGGCGUUUUUUAGCCCGAAGGGCAUUGUGGUGUAGCAAUAAACACCUUGGUCGGUGUAGAACGCCGUUUUCUCUUGAUCCUCUUCACUCAUUCCCAUUUGAUGAUACCCUUUGAAGGCAUCUAGGAAGCAGAGGAUCUCAUACCCCAUCGCCGAGUCGACGAGGGCGUCUAUCCUAGGCAGAGGAUAGCAAUCUUUGGGGCAGGCCUUGUUGAGGUCGGUGAAGUCUACACACAUUCUCCAUCCACCAGUGUCCUUUUUUACCAUAACUGGAUAUGGCCUUGCUGCGUUCGGGGCCGAAGUGCCUUCGUUUCUGCCGCACAGGUCGGGCCUGUGGGUUAACGUUAAGUCGGUGAGUCAUAAGCUCGGGUGGCACUCCGACCACUUCAUCUGCGGACCACGCGAAGAUGUCUCGGUGGUCCUUGAUCAAGGAGAUCAUUUCUUCUUUCAGGGGUGAGGGGAGUCCGGCCCUUACUUGGACCACUUGGUCAGGUUUGGCUUCAUCCAAGAUCACUUGUUCCACCUCAUCCCCAGGCUCAAGCCUGUUGGGCUCUCCUGCCUUUUUAGGGUCGAUGCAGUCUAUGGAGAGGACAGCCGGCCUCUUUUCUUCUGACCUCGGCGGGGGCUGAGGUCCGACUGCAGCUUGGAUGGUGGCGAGUUAGCAUUCUCGGGCGGCGCCCACGUCGCUGCUCACCUCGGCCACCCCCUCUGGCGUCGGAAACUUGAAGCUCAGGUGGUAGGUGGAAUAUACAGCUCUUAAGACGUUGAGCGUGGGCCGGCCUAUCAGCAUGUUGUAAGGAGAGUCCGCUUUGACCACCGCAAAACUGACAGGCACAGUUCGGCAACGGGGAUGACGCCCGAUAGUCACCAUUAAAUUCACCAUGCCCUCCGGUUGGACGACGUGUCCCCCGAAGCCGACAAGGGGAGUUCUGACCGGAGUGAGUUGCUCCCGGGUCAACUUCAAACUCUCGAAGGUCCGGUAGUACAUGACGUCUACCGAGCUUCCGGGGUCAACGUAGACAUUUUUGACUAUGUAAUUGUUUGUGAGGACCUCAACCACGAGGCCCCCGUGAUUGCUGGAGGCAGCGGGGACAGGGUCGCGGGGACCAUAGGUUAUCACCUCGGACAGCCUCGAACUCGGCUCGGCCACAUCCAUACCGGCUUGGCGGUAGGUCCGCUUCCGGGAGUUCUGGCUGUCUCCUCCCGUUGGGCCACCUGAGAUGGUGUUGAUCACCCCGGCAAUGUUUGGGCCGUAGCCCGGCGAUCCGUCGCGUGGAGGCCUCUGAUUCCCCUUAUGGUCCUCGGGACCUCGGCAAUUAAGCUUGGUGUCGUGCCGGUCCUCUCGGCGAGGAUCUCGGCUCUCCCGGUGGGAGGCACUUCGGUUGAAGCUUCCAUCUUUGCGGAUGAACUGCUUCAGGUAUCCUUGUCGGAUUAGGUUUUCGAUCUCUCGCUUCAGAUCGUUGCAAUCUUCAGUCUCGUGCCCAACGUCUCGGUGGUAGGCACAGUAGAGAUUGGAGUUCCUCCGAUCCCUCCUCCCCGGGAUCUCAGGAGGUGUUCGGCCGAGGUGGUUUUGCCUCAUCACUGCCAAAACAUGAGACCGGCUAGAAUUGAGAGGGGUCAGUUCGGCGUCCGAGGUGGACGACCUCCCCUUCACGAUCCGGUCGAAAACACUCCGGCGGUCUCGGGGUUGGGUUGAAGUGCCACUGGGGCCGGGUUCACUUCGGCCUGUGUCUUUCCUCCUCCGGGGAUCUUGUCCCGUACGAGAUGCUUGGGCUUCUCGCUUCAUGCGGUUUACAUCCUCACUUCGGAUUCCCUGGUCUACUCUUUCCCAGAGUUUCCGAAGUGUACGGGGGUAUUUCCGAUGGAUCUCGGUGUUGAAGAUCCCAGCUACUAAUCCGUUGGUGAAGGCGGCAAUAGUUACCUGCUCAUUCUGAUCAGGUAUCUGCACAUUCUUCUCGUUGAACCUCUGGGCAUACGAGCGAAGUGACUCGCCCUGACCCUGUUGCAGGUUCAAGAGGUAUGCUGAAGUCUUGGUUAUCGGUCGGGACGACACGAAGCGGUGGAUGAACCGGUCUAUCAGUUCAUCCAGGGAGGAAAUACUCCCCGGCUCUAAAUUCCAGAACCACUUGUGGGCAGUCCCAUAUAGGAAGAUGGGGAAAGCCCGGCAUAUCACGGCGUCGGGGACGCAGUAUAGUCGGAAGGCGGAGAUGAAGGCGCUGAGGUGAUCCUCGGGGUCACCUCGGCCGUCAUAAGUGUGCAAGUUUGGGAGUUUGAAGUUCGGGGGAACCAUCUCCCCAUUGAUGUCAUCAGUAAAGGGCGGAGCCCUCAUGUAGUCAGAAGCUAAGCCUCCGGAGCGCCGAGGUGGGUCCUCGGCCCGUUUCCCUAGGAGUUCUCGAGAAAACGCCAGGGAGAUGGAGGCAAUUUUAGAGGUCGCCUUGGAGGAGGCACGCCUGGAGGUACUCCGAGAGAGACGCCCCUCAUCGGAGUCUUCACCUGACGGUACCUCAGGGGACUUCGUCGGCCUCCUCUUGGAAGACUCGGCCUUUUCUUUCCCCUGUCUUUUGAGAUACCUUCCUAGUUCCUCAAAAAUGGUAGGGUUGUGUGAUACGAACUCGGCCAUCUUGGCGAUGGCCUCCUCGUUGUUAGGCUGGGUCCUCGGGGACCCUUGCUCUUCGGAAAUGCGAUCUUGCUGGGCUCCCGAGGUCUGCCCAGCCCCAGUUGAGGGAACUCGACCACUUCUGGAGCGCGUGGAUCUCAUUUUAGUAAUAGUAGUCUCGUUCCCACAGACGGCGCCAAUUGAGGAGGUGAUUUUCGGUUGGUAACUAGACCGACCUGGAUCAAUCCUCUCUGAGAUGAAGUAAGGUGAACUCCUGUGUCCGAAGUGAAUCUCGGUGUCCGAAGUGAGUGGCGGGGCUUCUCCCCUGAGAUCACUCCGACGAUCAAGUUAGUAUGAGAACGAGAAUAAUAAGAGUAUAAGCAAAUGAACAGUGUGUUGUUUUUUUGUUGGGAGUGUAUCUGGGGUAUUUAUAGAGGGAGAGUAGAGGACAGAGCGGAGGGCUUAUGCUGGUGGGACCCACCCUCUGGUCAUUACGGCUCUGUCCCGUGUCAGGAGGUCUGACUCUGACACUGUAGCUGCCUGAGCAUGAUGACGGGGAGUAUUGUGCAGGUGCCAUUAAGUGCCUCCAGUGCUUUUCAGAUAAAGCACUGGUCCUGGGUGAUGUCAGGUGGUUUGACAUCAUCAGCGUGCAGCUGAGGUGGGGGUGCCGAGGUCGGCUACACAGUAGGCUAGGGAAACGGCCGAGGCCGAGUUCAGGGGUGAUGCCCGGGACACGGAUGAGCUCUGAUGAGGGACGAGGUGAGUUCACCUCGGCCACUCGGGAUGACCGAGGUGAGCAUCCUCACACUGUAUAGUUUUUAUAAGCAGUUCGUAAGUGUACUUAGCCAUUGCAUAACAAUCAGAUGAAUGAUUAUAUACUUAUUUAACUUGUGGUUAUUGCAACCAUUCCUGAGCAGUCUAAAGGACAUCUCAACAUUUCUUUUUUUGACUCUUCACUACAUGAGCAAAGUCAUAUUACUUUCAAUUAAUAUACCAUAUCUUACCUGCUUAAAGCCCAUACUUCUUCGCUAUGAAUUUGAUUUGCUUAUGUUUAUCUUCUCUAGGUUCUUCUUCAAAACUGCAAUGUCUCCAUCAUGCCUUGCAAUCCAAUACACUGCAAAAUUCAAGUUCAUUUGCCUAACUAUAUAACACUCUGUUUCUAUCUUCUAAGUGUCAUUACUUAGUAACUACUCUUAUCUAGCAAGCCAAUCUCCAAUCUGCAACAAUUGUUAUAAUUAUCUUUCAGAUGCAAUACAAAGUACACCAGGUUUGCCAUGAACACAUUCAUUGUUGGUACUGUUAGCCAAUGUUACUUUAGCAAUUGUUUUAAAAUAUUGCCUCAAAUACAUUCAUUUGUACUCUUAUAGGAAUUGCUGUAGUGCAUUCUCUGAAUGAUGAGAGACAGCAAAAUGUCAAUGACAGUAGUGAUAUUUCCGUUAAAGGUUUAUUAUACACCUAUUCUGAGUUCCUUUUAACAAAUCUCAUUGAUCUUACAGCUAAAUGUAGUUCUGUACGAAUAACUUUCUUUUAACUAAUAUGAUUUUUGUUACAACUAAAUGUACCGCCCGGUAACGCUCUACAAGAUCUCAAAAUAAAAAGGUUAUGAGGAAAAAAGGUUCUUAACAUAUGAUUAGGCUUUCAAUUUCACUGCUUUUACUUUAUGCAUGGCUUCUAAUUUAACUAAAUAUACCAUUACUUACCUUGACCUUUCAAUUUAUAAUUACAUUACAGCUCAAGUAACUAAGGGAACAGAGGCUCUCAAAUUUAUUACUGACGAAUCAGAUAAGCUACCUCAGGUUCAUGACUGCCAUUUUCAACAGGUAAGCUACCUCAAUUGUUAAGACAAUCGCAUGAGGAUUUGCCUCUAUAUCAUGGAAGUUGUAGUAAACAUUCCAACUUUUCAACUUUUGCUUAGUUCACUCUCAAACACUUAUUGUCUUAGCAACUUCAAACCAUUAUUUUCGGAACUUCCAUGUGGAAAAACUUUAUCAAUAUUAAAAUCCAGAAACACUUUAUGCAACAUUAAAAGACAAAUUUAAUAAUACUAUUAAAAAUUCAAAGAACUAAAAUGAAAUAAAGAGAUGUUUAAAAUUUUGUAAGCCUUUAAGCUAUUCAAUUUUGCUCCUCAAUUCUUUCAAGGGAUAGUUGCAGAAACCUCCCCUGAGGUUUCUGAUACUUGCACUGACCUCCCCUAUGGUUUAAAAAAUUGCACUGACCUCCCCUGAACUUACUAAUCCUUUGCAAAUUCAGUCCAAAUGAUUAAAUAUUGUUUUAGGGAGUGAAAUUAGAAUUUUGUACCAGAUUUGCCCUUUGUGCUACAUGUCCAAUGAAUGACAAAGUACUACAAAUCAAUUAACAAUUAAUAAACUUUAAGGGGUGUAGUUUAUGGACAAAUACGCAUUACCCAUUAAAAGUACCGACUCUUUAUGGAUAUUUUACUUUCAAACAUUUAAUUUAUGAUAAAUAUAUCAAUGUUUGUAAGUAAAAGUACUUUAUAUAAGCACAUGUAAGCACAAAGGGUAAAUCUGGUACAAAAUUCUAAUUUCACUCCCUAAAAUAAUAUUUUAAUCGUUUGGACUGAAUUCGCAAAGGAUUAGUAAGUUUAGGGGAGGUCAGUGCAAUUUUUCAAACUACAGGGAAGAUCAGUGCAAGUGUUAGAAAUCUCAGGGGAGGUUUCUGCAAUUAUCCCUUGUUUCAAAUAUUUUAUUUUACUAUUCAAUUGAUCCUCAAAUUUUUUUCUAAUACAUGCAACAAAACACAAUUCACAGGCACCAAGGCACAGGAAGACCAACCUAGUGUGUGCGUGUGUGUAUAUAUAUAUCUACCUACUAGAUAAGAGAACAACUUGAGUUGUCCAUUGAAUGCCAAGUGUCAAGCUCUUAUUGGAGGAAGAAACUUUGUUUUAUUCAUUUGGAUCUUAAAGAAUGGUAAAUGUCUAUUUGGGACUUGGUCUUACAAUUGAGAAUUCCAAUAGUAGCUUACUAUUUAAGGGUCAAUUGGUAAUAAUGGAUUAAAUAUAUUUAUUUUUUAACUUUGUUUAUGUUUUAAUAAGUGUUAAAAGUCAAUUGCGUCCUUUUGUGAAAGGUGGUUGUUUGAAUAGUUACUAACUAUUUAGGGCUAUUUUUGUAUGUUUGAAAAUAUUUCCUUCUUAUUUUUCUGUUUCGAUGCAAAUAGUUUGAUACUGUUUGUCGAUUGAUCUAAACAUAUGGGUCAGUUUUAGGCCUCUCACUAAAAGUCUCUUCUUCUCCGUUUCUUCCGCUCGAAUAGCUGAAUAUGAACCUGCAAAAGAUGCCACUGUUCUACCAAUUUUCUGAACAAAGCAUUGUACUUUCUCUUGGUUAGAACCACAAAAACCCUCCACAUGCACGUGAUUGCAUUUGCCCCAAGAAUCAGCUUCUUUUAGGGAUUGUACUUGGUUUGAAUUUACCAGCGAAUUCUUCCUUUUUUCCUGUUACGAAGUAAUGUUUUCUUUUAGAAAACAAUUUUUAGUGAUCUAUGGUACGGUUUCUAAAACCUACCAUGUAUACAAAAGGGAGAAGGAAAGGAGAAACCCUUUAGAUGUUGGUUCUUUCUUUCGUCAUAUUGAGUAAAGGAUGAAAAACUUAGGUACGAUUAUGAUCUUGCCAUUUUUACUGUUAACUGUGAUUUUUGCUUCAGAUAUCUUUCAUAUCUACUUGAUUCAGAAAAAAACAGCUUGGCUUCAAGCAACUGGGAAACUUGCCUUUGGAUACUCUAAAUAGAAUAGUGAAUGCAAACAUUGAUUGGAAUAUCUGUUGUCCUUCUUGCAAGCAACAAAGUGAAGUUGAUAUGAGGUAAAGUUACCAAUUCAUGCUCUUUAAUUACAAUUUAAUCCUCUUUCUGCAUUUAAAUUGAUGUUAAUUUCUAUUGUUGAAUUUGAGGGCUCGAAUUCUCAUCAUUUUAACUGAUGAUUCGGGAACAAUCAAUUGCACUAUAUCUAGAGAAGGUGCAGAAAAAAUGAUUCUAUUCACUUCAUUUCAGCAUAAACUGGCACAAGAAAGUGUAAGUGAUAACUUUCUAUUUUAUAUCCAUGCAUAACAAAAAAGAUAACAACAGCUGACUACAACUCAAAAAAUAAUUUUUGCUACAGCACUUUGAAGUAGACACUGAACUUAAUGGUUCCUUGAAGAAAUAUAUAAUUGUCUACUUUCUCAAGGCUUAUGAAACUCACUUUUAAGACCAGCGACAAAUUAAAACUAUUGUGUCCAAAGCUUACACUACAGAUGAUCUGUUACUGUAACAUUUCUAGCUCGCACCGAAGUUUCUUCUGCAGUGGGCACUUCCUCAGCAAGAUAUCAAAAAAAAAAAAAAACAACAACAACAAACAAAGGAAGAAAAAUUCACACCAACCACUAAGUUGGUGUUUGAAGAAAUUGCUGGAGGCAAUUUUUCCACGAAAAAUGAUGCAUAUUGGAGCAGAGGAUUAAAUAGGAGCCUUGAUUUUCCAAAAGGGCUACCUGAAAAUGAAGCUACACCAGUAGAAACACUAUCCAAAGAGCCAUCCAAUAUUUCUGAGCAGUGUACCAAAGAAGGUCCAGAAGAUAGCAAUCCGCCUGAGAAUAUUGAAGAUAAGUCCAUCAAAGAAGCUUAAGGGCAAGUAGGCCUAAACUGCUUUAAUUAUGUUACUUUUAUUAAAUCUUUUGUUAGCUAGCUAAAUGAUUAGGUCCAUUGCUUCGAUACUUUCUUUGAAACUGCUUCAGUCCUUGACAAAUAAGGGAUCAUGAGAUAGCUAUUAAUAGUUCAGUUUGUUAUCUUGCACCUGCAUAGAUCAUGAAACUUAAUUGCAAGUGCUUAUAUGUAUGAAGAUCCAGUCUUAAAGCACAUGUGCUGCUAUUAAUAGUUCAGUUUGUUAUCUUGCACCUGCAUAGAUCAUGAACCUUAAUUGCAAGUGCUUAUAUGUACGAAGAUCCAGUCUUAAAGCACAUGUGCUGUCAAAAGUGAAUGAUUUUGUUUAUAUAAUCUUUACCACUGUUCUAAAUAUUAUUUAUCUCUCUGUCUUUUAAACACAAUUAGCAUAUCAAAUCCACAGAUAUAUUAUCAACCCCCUCAAAAUUAUCUGGAUUUUGCAUAGGACAAAAAUGAAGGAUUAAAUAAACAGCGAAAAUUAUCAGUGGAUAGGCCAGUGCGUAGCACGGCCAGAUCCAAGCUAGUAUAUAUAUAUAUGUUGCUAGCCUUUUGGAUGCUCCAAGUCCAUGAUCUUGCUUGCACAGCCUUCUCUUUAGAUUUGCUGAAGCGUCGUACCGGUCGCAGAUUUUGUUGACUUGCUUUUUGUUUCUCUGUCAGAUUUAAAGCUCGUUUGACGAGCAAGCCGAGAAAUUUGCAGCUGCUAUCAUGCCAUCUGAACGAAAAAUGAGGAUCCGGGGCACAAACGGUCAUCAGAUGAACUGUUCAGGAGCAGUCCUCUCACAUGCUCCAGCCAGAGCCGCGUCCAAUUCUUCCAGGUGGUUUCCAAUCGUUCCUAGGCUUUGAUUUUGGUUUGCCAUUGCCCCCUUUGAUGGUCAAAAGUCAGAUACGGAUGUUGGUUUAAAGCAGAUUUUUUGUCCUACCAAGAAAUACAAAGUUGGAACUGGUCUUCUUGGUGAGCUCGCCAAAUCAUUCAUAUUUCGAGUAACAAUAAUAUAUAAAAGUUUCCUUGGAUUGAAGCCUUUUUUGGAUGGUAAUAGCCCUUUUGGUUUUGCUUGUAGUUUUCAGUGUGUCAAAUAUUGUUGAUUUUUCUGCUUGUGUGCUGCUUCUUGUCACUCGAAUUAUGUGCAUCUCUUGUACUACAUAUAAGUGAAGGCAAAUGACAAGUCCCCAAUACAGUCCAGAUUUAGAGAGUGUAAUUGCACAAUUUCAAGCUCUAUUUGGGCUUCCCCCAGAAACUAGUAAUCCUUAAAAGCAGCAGUACAAAUUAGACGACUUCAUAUUAUAUUAACCAUAUCAACUAAUAUGUAUUAAAUUGCCCAACUGAAAAUUACAUUAAUUCUGCAUAUGCCAUAAUACAGUAGCUUCUAUUGUGCCAGUACUAACAACUCCAUUCAAGUUCUUGGGAAUCCAAGAAACCACAAUUAAAAGAAAAAAGGCAACAAAGCAACAAAAUGCUUAUUAAUAUGAUUUAUGAUCAAUCUAAUCGCCAUAAGCAGCGAUACCGUCCAUUAUCACUGCAACAGUCUCUUUAGACUCCCUCAGCAGCUUGAUGCUUCUGUUCAAUCUGCAACGUUUAUCAGCAACAGAUGGAGAUUCCUCCAACAUCCGCUCCACUCCACCCCCGUAAGGUCCCAUCAAGUCGUUCACCAUUUCAGCUUCCAUGUCUUUGUUCACCAGAUUUUGGAUGCUGAAGAGUAAAUGCAGAGCCAUGCAAUCAACCAACCUCCUCAGAACAAUCUUCCAAUAAGCAGUCAUCCUCAUUUUCAGAUCAAAAGCUUGUCGUGCAACCAGCACAUGAUUUCUUAGAUGCCCGAUUUCAACCGCACCAAAGCCAUCGAUCUCCAUGUUUGUUGGCUUCCAAUCAUCAUUAAUGAGUUCCAUGAAUGUGUCCUGUCUUGCCAUCAGUUUAUGCCAGGUUGCGGAGUAUUCAGGAUCACAGGUAUAAUCGGUGAGUUUCUCCAUGUCUAUAAUCUGCAGUACCCAAUCGACUGACUGCUCCCUUUUCUUGCAAACAAGAUUUUGGGUAGCUCUCCUGAUUGAAGAUUGGAUUGAUGGGUAGUUGUCAGAGUGCUUCGUCAAGACAGGGGCCAGCACCCCUUGUAAAUACUCCCAGAACUUAUCCACAAAUUCAGCCGGUGCAGCAGAAAUGGCCUUGACCCUUUUUUGCAGUAAAGCCAGAAAAGCAGCGCGAGGAAGGAAAUUAGGUAAGCUUAUACCAUUAGCUUCCUCCAGGAUGCUAAUCUCUUCCUCCAAGAAGUUCUGCUUCUGUUCGCUUUUGAUAGAGAUGGACUGCAAUUCGUCAGAGUACUUGCUCAGCAUCGUUGCCAAUCUUGCAGUACAAUGCAUUUCCUUUUCAUCUGGAUACUCGUCGAAUUCCCCUCUGAUAAGUAUUUUCCUCAGCGACUCUUUGGCUGAAGAUAUGAUACGCAUAAAAGCGGUCACCGCUUCAGGAACUGAGUUCAGCUUUUGUGGCAACUUGUUCAGCUCUGCUACACUUGCAGCUAGCUUGUCAUUGAUCUUCCUCACGAUAUCUGGCAAGCAUUUUGAAAUUAUAGUUGCCUGAAUUUGCACCAAUUUCUGGGCUAAAACAGGGAUGCCAACUAUUGACUUGUUAAUCUUGGACAGCAGCGGAUGUGUUUGGAAAAGCAUAGCUUCUUCAGCUCGAGCUUCCUCGUAUGACUCGUCGCCAAUACGAUUUCUCACGCAGACGUAUCCAAGGCCAAUGUUCACAUCAUCGGCUGUUACCUUCUCCAUCAAGCCUUCAGGGGCCUUGUCUGCCUUGGUGACAACUGCUAGAGUUCUUUCACCGGUUUUGUCCACCUUUUGGGACAUCCGAAUGGAUUCGCAAGUCGAAAAAUCAACACUAGCAGAUAAAACGUUAAGUAUUAUGCUUUCUUCUGGUUUGAUAUACUCCAUAAUGAUUGCUGAAAUUUGCUCGUAGAUGUCUUCAGGCUGCCCGUGAACUGGAACUCUAGUAAUCCCAGGCAAAUCCACCAUAGUAAGAUCAGGGACACCAUCCUUUUUAACAGUCAAAGUCAGGGGAACAUUUGAUAUCCCCUUACUUCUGCCGGCGAUCUCGUCAGUUGCAUCGCUGAUGGCCUCAGCAAUAUGUUCCUCAUCGGUUGAAACAACUCUACCAUUGAACUCUAAGCUCAGCUCCGGCUGGGGACUGGGAUGACUUUGCAGCCUCAUAACCAAGGGAACCCUCGUGCAAAUCCCUUGUCCUCUGGGCAGGCUAAUGCCUGCUAGCGACUCUAGAACACUAGACUUUCCUGAAGAUUGAUCUCCAACAACAACAAUUGUUGGAAGCUGGAUUCCUUCUUGCAUGACUUUGAGGCUUCGCAGCCUGUCUACGCAGUCAAGCAAGGGCCUAAUGCGUUCAUUGUAGGAUGAUACAAUGGGGGCCUGGAUUGCUAGUGGUUCUUGUUGAUCAUGAGCAACUUCAACGAGGGAUUUGGUGAUUUCUUCAGAAGCAAAAUCGGAGCCAUUGAUUAGUGCACCCAUGUUUCUUGUGGUUGUUGGUUUUCAGAAUUUCGACUGUAAUGUUGCAGGUGAAAAAGGUCGGAAAGUUUAGAGGGAAGGAAAGAGAUGAAAGGAGCUAGUGAAUUUCAGGUCAGGUGAUAGCAAAUGUGGACUUGUGGCUGAAUUUAUAGGGAUCCAAUAAUUAGUUUACUGGUGUUUCCUUGUGGUGGAAACACAGCAUUGGAGUCAAUUGACUUCUUUGGAAAUGACUUAAGAAUUAAUAGCUAGUUUGACAAAUGAGAAGAAAAGAAAGGUUUUGAAGGAAUAAAAAAGUUUUUCUAUUGUUUGCGAGUUAAAAUGAGAAAGUUGUUUGGGAGUUAAAAUGAGAAGGAAAAGAAAAGAUUAGGAAAGAUUUCACUGUUCUCCAUCUUUUGGAAAACUUUCCGUCCAACGGAAAACUUUUCGCCCAAUAUUGGGUGGAAAGGAAAGGAAUGGACAGAAGUUUAAGUAAAUUUUUCAAUAUGACCAAAUUACCUUUAAAAUUCUGAUAUAAAACAUUUUAAUACUGGAUGAAUCCCUCUCACAUUUGUUUAUAGAAAGGGCAUAUUUAUAAAAUAAUUUGUUUAAGUAUCUUUUCCUUUCCUUUGUAUUCAACUCUCAAACAAAAGAAAACUACUUACUUUUUUUUUUCUUUUUUAAAACUCCCAAACAACUUAUAGAAACUUUAAUCCUUUCUUUUCUUUUCUAACUUAUCAUUUCUCUUCUUUUUUUUUUUAUUCUAAACUCCCAAACAAGCUAUAAGAGAACCGGCGAAGGAACGAGUUGGAUCGUACAAAGGUGGGUAAACAUGGCUGGCAUGGAAAAAUGAAAUAUGACUUCGGAAGCUUGCCCUGCACGUUCGUCCCACGAUCUAGGGGAUGCAGAUCCUCUACGGUUGCAUCUACAACCGCAGAAGACGGUUGUGAGCCGAGAUCAAUCCAUUUGAACUUUGGUUGAUUGUGACCAAUAAUUUAAAAUUCAAAUAAAUUUUAGAUCAAUGAUCGAGAUCAACCCACGUUCGGAUAGGUUGAUCUCGAUCAGCCGAUCUGCUAACCGUCCUCUGCGGUUGCAUCGAUAAUUGCAGAGGAUUCGGAACCCAAUUCGAUAAUGUAUAAAACCUUUUAAGAGGAAAUUAAUGGAGAGAGAAAAAAUGAAGGGAAAAUCUUUCAAAUGCGACAAAGAUUGAUGUGAAGAAUCCAAGGAUGUAAGUAUUAAGGAAAAAAACCAUAAUGCAUAAAAUUGAAUUGUUUUCUAUAAGAUUGUUAUUUCUUGUAUUUUAUGAUGAAUCAACAAGAUUUAUGACUAGUUUUUAUAUAUUUUUUUAUUUAGGUCCUGUUUGAGGUUGCGAUACUUUUAGUUUAAAAAAAAUACUUUUAAGUGCUAAAAGUACUUUUAAAAUAUUUGGUGAGUAUCCUUAUAUUAUAUAUGAAUGAGUUAUGGUCAAAGGGAGGUUUGAAUUUCAACCCCAUAGAUAGGAGAUUUUUUAGAAUAUGAAAUAUUGUGUAGUUUUUUUUAAAAUUUUUGGUACAACUAAUGGUAGCACGUGUUUAGGUAUAUUUACUGAAAUGUCCUCAUUUUAAUACAUUUAAAACUUUGAUUUAUAGAGAUAUCUAGGUAUUUUUGGAAUAUGGAAUUAUUUUGCAACUGUUUUUGCAUCAAGUACAACUCAUAUAAACUUAUUUGUUAGUGCAAUUACUGAAUAGUGUUAUAGACACAUUUAAUUGAAGUGUGACUUUUAUUGUGUAAUUAACACAAAGACAUAUUAAUACAUUGUGUAACUAACACGUUGCUAUAACUAGCCAUUGAAAGAUAUUCCUUUGUCUGAAACAACUUAUGUCUCCUCUUGGACGAUUUUCAACUAACAUCUGUAGGGGCAUUUUGGGAAUGAUAAAAUUGCAAAAACAUUAAUAAAUUGAUAAAGUAAAGUGUACAAGUAUGUGCUGCAAUUAAAAUGUACUAUUAUUAGUUUUGUCAUAUUUGAUGAUUAUUUCUUUUCAAAAUAUACUAUUAUUUGUCUAAUAAAAUAUCCUCUUUAAUUACGGGUACCAAACACCCGCACGAUGCGCGGGCACUCCUCCCCUAGUCAUCCCAUAAAAAUAAGAGUAGAACUUUUUAUGUUAAAAGUACUUUUAACAAAAGAUCAAAUUUGGUACUUUCAAAGUAUCUUUUGUGAUUUAAAAAAUAAAACAUCAAAUUUAAUCAUUUUACCCUAUAUUAUGAACUAAAUAAAGAGAUAAACAUUUUUAAAAAAUUUUAAAUUACAUAUUAUCCAAUACAAUAAGUAUUUAUUUCAAACAAUAUAUUUAAAAGCACUAAGUUAAUAAAUAUUUUUAUUAAAAGUUCUGUUAGGAAAGUAAUUUUCAAUAAGUUACCGCAAUCCCAAAUGGCCUUAAGUGUGUUCACCUAAUUUGGUAUUAGGGGCUUCUUAUGGUAUACGUAUAGACAUCUUUAAAGUGCCACAUGUGGAUAUGAAUUAAUUUAUAUACAUGUCAUUUUGUUAGUAGUUUCUUUGUAUAUCUCAGAAUCAUACUUUUAUGUGUCUGUAACCCUUGUUUUUUGGGAUAUAUAUCCAUAAAUUAAUGCAGCAACACUUUAUGGCCCUCAAAAAAAAUUUUUACAGAAUCUGUAAUUUACCCUUUUUGAACUACAAAAUUCCCUUUUGGCAUUAUCCAUACAUUUCUUUCAUGCUAAAAAUAUGUUUGGGAAGUUGAUGCUACAUAAAGCAUACGUUAGGAGAAGAAUGAAGGGGCUCUUAAAAGAUGUUCUUAAUUCUUUACAUUCUUCUUUCUUCAUGAAUCUUUUAAACUUUCACUUAAGAUAAGUUAAAUAAGUUAAAAAGGCUGGAAAUUUCUUGUUGAAUCGAUCCAGCUCUAAGUUCCAAGUCUUCCCUUAUUGUCAUCUUCUUAUUCUUUUUCACAUAUUGUCUUGUCACUUAUAAAGUCGUCUUCCCAAGUCUACCCUUUAUAGUCAGUCGUCUUCUUUUUCUUUUCCACAUUGUUUGCUUUUCAGCUCUUGUUAGUCAUGCUUAAUUGCUUGUGAGAAUUGUUACCUUAAGACUAGAGAGGAAGUGUCAAAAAAUAAGGAAAGUAAUAGGCAGCUUCAUAUCAUGUGAUUACGUUUUAUGACAUAAUACACCAAAAAGAUUUCUUGUAUUUUAUGAUGAAUCAACAAGAGUUUUGUUUGGAUAGAGUAUUAUUUGAAAUAUUAUUUGGAAUAAUUACUGUAACAUUUUUUGUGAUGUGAUGUAUGUGAGAUAAAAAAAUGAUUGGGAAUAUAAAAAGGUGGGUUGAGAAAUGUGUUUGUGAUGCAAGCGAAAUAUUAUUUGGAAUAAUAUUAUUUACGACUAGUUUUUACUUUUAUUUUUUUUAAUUUAAGUCUGUUCACCUAAUUUGGUAUAGGAGCUUCCUAUGGUAUACAUAUAGACAUCUUUAAUAAUGUCACAACAUAAAGUGAAACAUGUGGAUAUGAAUUUAUAUAUAUAUAUAUAUAUAUAUAUAUAUAUAUAUAUAUAUAUAUAUAUAUAUAUAUAUAUAUAUACACAUACUAGUAAAUACUACACAUGCUUUGCAUGUGAAUAUAGUAAUCAAAAUAUACUAGUAUUUUGUAGCUACUAAAAUUUGUUGUGAAGUUUUGAUUAUCUACUUCAUAAUAAACUUAUGUAUAUUUUUCAAUUUCUUUAACUAAUUUUGGCUACAAACAUUUAUUUAAAUUUGAACUCUUUGACCUCAAGCUAUUAGAACUUGUUUUUGAGCUUUUAUUGAUUAAAUUUGGAUUGAACUUUGAUAACAAUUGUUGACACUAUCAUGUUUAUCAAGGUUGUUGUGAUUACCCUUAAAUUAUAAAAUUGCACAUUUUUAUAUAGUUCAAAAUAAUAUUAUUAAGAAGGAAAUAUAUAUAUAUAUAUAUAUAUAUAUAUAUAUAUAUAUAUGCACAUAUCAAGCAUGGGAGAAGCAAAUCUAAUUUGAGUGCUAUUAAAAUUUUAAAAGGGGCAUUAGAAUACAACAUGAAUUGACUUGUUAGAUUUUUAACAUUCCGAUUAUUGUACUAUGCAUCUUCUUUCCUUCAUCCGAUGCCUUUGCAAGCUCAGUAAUCUGUCUAGAUAUGUCUUUUUUAUUUUAUUUUAUUGAAAGUAAAAUCUAUGAUGGACUUUCUAGUAAAAUUAUCAGAUUUUAACAACCAAGAAACUAAAAUUUGGUUAAAUUAUUAAACACUUCCUGAAUAGUAUUUGCAAUAUCAAUACUUAUGAUUACUGAUUAUUUAAUUGUAGAAUUACAAUUAGUUAAUUAUAUAAGAAUAUAAUACAUGAAUGGUAUUUCUUAUUUCUUUAGACUUAGGUUUUCUAUAAUUAUCAUUUCGUAUAAAACCUAAGGCCCCGUUUGGAUUGCUAUUUUCUGCCAAAAAAUUGCGUCGUUUUCCGUGAUCACAUUUUCCUAUUACCUUUUUCCCUCACAUACAUCAAAUCACUACAGUAAUUUUUCCAUGAAAAAUGACGGAAAAUGCAAUCCAAACGAGACCUAAUUCUUUAUAGAGUAGACGAUUAUUAUUUAUCAUAUUAUAUGAGUUGAAUUAGUUAGCUUUUUGAUGAAGUUCUUUAGUAGUGUGAAGUGAGUUGUUUCAUUUUUUUUUUAAUUUUUUUGCUCCAUUUUUUGAUUUGUUUACGUAUAUACAAUUUGUAUGUGAACUCUUUGUGAUUAUUUAAUUCACAAGGGUAUUUUUAAUCUAUCAUAUUUAAUUAUUUCUAUGUGAAUAUUCAUUGUCAUUGAUUGAGAUUUCAUUGACUGAGGUGGUUGAGUAUUCUCUUUUUUAUUUAUCUUCUAUUGUUUUUAUAAUUUCGUUUGAAAACAAUGCAACAUAAAGCACAAACAACAACCAUUCCUUUUCCGUGCUAAUAUGUACACUUAAAUUAAUCCAUAGAUUUUUUUUCCCUUUUUGUUUUAGAAGAAAUAACUCUAAUUGUGAUAUCAAAAUUAGUUAGUUCAUUAUAGAUGAAAUAUAAGAAAAUUUUUCAUUGUUUGCUUGGAUUUGGGUGACAUGAAUUGUCAUUUCAAUUAAAACUAAGUUGCUUGCAUGUUUGUUAGUUUUUUUUUUUUUUUUUUAACUUGAUGUGAAUAGAAACUCCAUCGAAACUGAUCAAUGAAGACCGUCAUAUAUUCUGACAAAUUUUGUUAUGAGAGGCAAGAUUCUGACCCUUAAUCUCCCGCACCACCAAGCCCAAGAAGGCUUGGGAUGACCACUGGACCAAAGUCCCAGUGGCAUUUGCAUGUUUGUUAGUUGCAUGAACAUGGAAGUUGCUUUCUUUUUUGUCUUGUUAGUUGUUCAGCUUUUCAGUUGAAACUACAGUGUACUAUGUUUCCUUGUGGUGGAAACACGGCAUUGGAGUCAAUUGACUUCUCUGGAAAUGCUUAAGAAUUAAGCGAACCCAAAGGCAAAGGAACGAGUUCGAUCGUACAAAGGUAGGUAAACAUCGCAGGCAUGGAAAAUCGAUCAUAUAUAUGAAACCUGACUUCAGAAGCUUGCAGUGCAGUUUCAUCCCACAAUCCAAAGGAUCCGGAUCCUCUGCAACCGCAGAAGACGGUUGAGACUCGCAAUCGAUCCAUUCGAACUUUGGUUGGUCGCAACAAUUAAUUGAAAAUUUUAAUAAAUUUCAGGUCAAUGAUCGAGAUCAACCCAAGUUCGGAUAGGCUGAUCUCGAUCAUCCGAUCUCUCAAACCGUCCUCUGCGGUUGCAUGGACAAUUGCAGAGGAUUCGGAACCCAAUUCAACGUAACUAUAACUUUUUUUUUUAAGAGGAAAUUAAUGGUGAGAGAAAAAAAUGCAACUAAGAUUAAUGUGAAGAAGAAUCCAAGGAGGUAAAUAUUAAGAAAACAAAAACCAUAAUGCGUAAAAUUGUUUAUUGUGUGUGAGUGUGUGUCUGUCAUCUUGUUAGCAGUUUCUUUGUAUAUCUCAGAAUAUUUCCGUUUGGAUUGCGAUUUUCCUCAGAAAAAUUAUUACGUUUUUCGUGAACAUAUUUUUCUAUUACCUUUUUAUCUCACAUAUAUCAAAUCGUUACAGCAAUUUUGCUACAAAAAAUUCAGAAAAAUGCAAUCCAAACGGGGCUUGUUUUUGGGCUAUAUAUCCAUAAAUUAAUGCAGCAACACUUUAUGCCCCUCAAAAAAAUUUUGCUGAAUCUGUAAUUUACCGAUUUUGAACUACAAAAUUCCCUCCUGGCACUAUCCAUACAUUUCUUUCGUGCUAAAAAUAUGUUUGGGAAGUUCAUGCUACACAAAUCAUACGUUAAGAGAAGAAUGAAGGGGUUCUUAAAAGUUGUUCUAAAUUUUUUGCAUUCUUCUUUCUCCACGAAUCUUUUAAACUUUCGCUUAAGAUAAGUUAAAUAAGUUCAAAAGACUGGAAAUUGUUUGUAAAUUCUAAGUCUUCCGUUAUUGUCAUCUUCUUAUUCUUUUUCACAUUGUCUUGUCACUUAUAGAGUGGCCUGCCCAAGUCUUCCCUUUAUAGUCAGUCGUCUUCUUUUUCCUUUUCACAUUGCUUGCUUUUCAGCUCUAGUUAGUCAUGCUUAAUUGCUUAUCAGAAUUGUCACCUUAAGACUAGAGAGGACGUGCCAAAAAAUAAGGAAAGUAAUAGGCAGCAGCAUAUCAUGUGAUUACGUUUUAUGACUUAAUACACCAAAAUAAAAAAAGUUUCCCUGCUACUUAAUACACCUAAAUGCUGCUACUUUUUUCUCUGUGGUAAUGGAAAUCUUGUUCUUCUUCUCUUUUUUUUUUCCUUUAAUUUUUCCUGUUAAAAAGGAAGACGUGAGACUUGAAAAGCGAGAAGAAAAUGAGGCUUCUUAAAAAGGAAGACGUGAGACUUGAAAAGCGAGAAGAAAAUGAGACUUAAGAAGCGAGGAGGUAAAAGAAGGAUGUGAACCCGAGCUUCUAAAUGCUUGGGCCUCACGCCAAUCUCUUCUUCAAUUUUCUUCUUUUAUAGACAAAUUCUCACUCCCAUGGAGUCAAGCCCCUGCUACAGCAAUAUUGCCAUUCAUAAACUAAGGCCCUGUUUGACACUUGAAUUUUUUGUCAAGUUUGUCUACUACAAGUUUUUUAAAAACUUUAGCUACAAAAUUUGUAAAAAUUUUAGCUACAGUAACUUUAAAAAACUUUUCAAAUUUUUUAAACUAUACACUUAAAAACAUUCAAAAAUUUAUACACUUCAAAAUUUUUAAAAAAAAUUUCUACAGUAAGCUACAGUAAAAUUUUAGAAAAACACCCAAAAAAUUCACCUGCCAAACAAGACCUAAAUGAGAAUGAUCUGGUUUUAAGAGCCAACAAGCCUCCUGAUUGACAAAGAAAAUACCAGAAAACCAAUGGUACUCCUAGCCAAUACUGACACUACAAUUUUACAAAAAAAUUAUUACUGGAGAAAUCACGGCAAGUGUUUGGUAUCGUUCGAUUUUCAGAGUGAGACCCUCUCCACAGCCUCUUCUAUCAGUGAAACUAUUUGUGGCUGGGGCAGUUGGCUCAUAAAUCUACAAAGAAGUUUAACUUCCACCAAUAUCCUAUACAUUAUAGGUGUAUCGUUUAGUAGUAAAUCAUUUGGCACCAAACCAAAAGUUUCCCCACAUAUUGGUCCAAAGCAGCUCCAAAAUCUGAGGCGAAAACUGGAUGGCAAUCAAGCCAGAAGCAAAUGCUGCCUGAAGCAAAAGGGGCAGCACCAAAAGCUACAGUUAGCAAGUUGGUUAUAUUUUACCUCAGAUGUGAUUCUGACCUGCUUUCCACAAUUUGUUGUGAGAUCCUUAACAUAACUUCAAUACCAUAAUUGCAUCACAUCAGAGUUAAGAUCCACAACAAUUUCCAGAGCUUGAAAUAUUUUAAUAGGCGGGCAAAAACAGGCAACAUCAAGUUACUUAGAAAGCCAAAUAUUGCAUCACACAGAAUCACCCAACUUCAAUACCAUCAUUGUAUCACACAGAAUCACGUCAGAGUUAAGAUCUACAGCAAUUUCCAGAGCUUGAAAUAUUUUAAGAGGUGGGCAAAAACAGGUACAUCAAGUUACUAGGAAAACCCAAUAAUACUUUAAAAUCUAAUUUAACAUAAGUAGGAAAGCUUGGAAAGAAGAGAUGGCAUCUGCUGAUGAAACCAUUGCUAUCCAACCAAACGCACAAAUUAUACGUCUGAUCACUAAGCCAAUGCAGAUCACCAUUUCACAACACCCCAUUCCCAAAAUAAGGAGGAAAACAAACAUCUCCCAUUGGUUAUGUGUCCGUAUUGUCCCUCAAAAUCCAAGAUUCAGAUGAUAGCAAUCAAUUACAAAACUCAGGUAGCCUAAAACAAAUGGGGCAGUGGCACAGCAGGCCAAAAAGCUAGCAAUGCACAAAACAGAAUCUUUACAUAUCUAAGCAAUCUAUAGCUAAAUCACGCAUUCAAGAAAAUCACAACCAUUUAGCAAACAGCAAGGUAAGUGUCCUGAAAGCAAACUCUUUUAGAACUCACAACCAGCUAGUCCUAUUAUUUGCAUAAACUAUUCAAGAACAGUUGGAAUAAAUGGUGAUAUGAGGAUAUGAAAGUAUCAAGAUAUAAUCUUAAGAUUGAUUUCUAAAGCAUUCUGAAACCAUAACUUCAUUACCAUAUGUACAAACAGAAUUAUCAUAAUUAAGAUCCACAAAAGUUUCUGUAACUUUGGGAUAUCUAAUUGGUAGGCAAAAGCAAAGUACAUUGGAGAAGAUAGUAACAUUUUACGACCAAAUUAAACAUAAGCGAGGGUCUCCAUAUGUCUAUAGAUGUCCUUCCAUUGAUUAAGGUGACUCUUCCAACCAUACCCAAAGU